GAUUUCUUCGCUUGUUCCAGAACGUCUCUAACGCUAACCGGCCGGAUUCUUUUGACACUUGGGACGGAUGAUCCUGCAAAAGGAGUGUGCAAGGCAGGGUUCCCCACGUACGAUGAUGAGGACCUCUCUCGUCGAUCGAUCCGUGCGGAAAAUCAGCGAGAGAAACGUACACAAGAUUGUCGACCGAUCGUGCUCGAGUAGGUGGUAGGUGGUAGUACGUACGAGAGCUACCGUAUUAGGUGUAUGGAGUAGGCAGCUGCGUGAGAUCGAGCAGGUAUUUUUGUAUGAAGGUAGGUGUGGAUCAGAUGCUUUUCCAGCCUAGCGAAGAGCAAGUUUAUUCAGGUAUAUUCAGGUUUCCACGUGCACACUCCAAUAACAACUACUCCCUCUAUUUCAAUUUAUAGAUUGUUUUGAUUUUUUAGGUUCAUAAAUAUUAUUAGGUUACGGCCGUUUUGGUGAAAGUUUUUUUAGAUAACAAAAAAGUUUCGACUUCAGAACCGAGCAUUAGACGCAGUUAUUACAAACACACCUAAAGUUUACACCACACCGCAGUUAUUACACACACCUAAAGUUUACACCACACUGUGUUUAACAUUAUUGACUGGUACGCAGAGUGAAAGACCAUCCAUGGGAUGAAAAAAAAAUACAUAGCUCUAGACUCUAAAACCUAGCAAGCCUUGAUGAGCCGCUCCUUUGGAUCGUCAGUGCGCUGCAACAAUGCCUAGAACUGAAGCCAAUGUGUCCCCUGAAUAGCAUGUGCAAACAAGUUUUUGUCUACCAAUAUUAAACACAGUAUCGUUCCUUGUGAGCCAAAUUGCCCAACAAAUAUAUGCAGCGCCUGUCAAUAACAAAACAUUAUGGUCUCGUCCCCCUUGUUUAUGCCAAUUAUUAAACACAUGAUCUGUGUUUCCUAACACAAUGUGUACCCAAUUUUUUUUUUGCAUAAUGACAUUCAAAAAAUAAGUGCGGGAUAGUUUCUAGCUUACUAAAAAAACAAUAAGCCUUACUCCCAUUCCAAUUUCUCCUAGCUAGAUUAUCUUUCGUAAAGAUCACUCCUCUUUUGAAAUACCACAUAAAUAUUUUUAUUUUUCAAAGGAAUCUUCGUAUGCCAAAUUUCUUGUGUAACUUGGACUCCGUUAUUUAACUAGGUGCCUAUACAUGGAGUUCACCGUGAAAACUCCAUUCUUAUGUAGAUUCCACACAAUACCCUCAUUCAAAUUAAUAUGUGCUAUUCUCGCGACAAAGUUAUACCACUCAAUUAACUUAUUCCUAACUAAAGCUCUCCUAAACAAAACAUUAGCUGGGUUCAUAUCGAGCACUUCUGCCACAGUUGCUUGUUUUCUCCGCACUAUAUUAAAUAGAUUAGGGUAUUGGAAUUUUAAAACCCAGGUACCUAACCAUUUAUCCUCCUAAAAUCUGAUUUGGUUACCGUUAUUUAGCCUGAACCUUCCUAAAUAUAGGAAUUGGUCUUUUACCCCCAUCAAACUUGACAGAAGUGAGAAUCCCCAGCUCUUUUACUCACCUGGCUUAAGAUUUUAUUCUUUAGAUAUUUGUUUCUGAGCAGUUCCUGCCACAACCCCUCUUCAUUACACAGCUUAAAAAGCCAUUUGCUUAGAAGGCAUGUCAUGUAUUCCUAAUCCCCCUUGUUCUUUUGGCUGGCUCAUUAUAUUCCAUCUUACUAAUCUAUAUCUCUUUUUUAUGUCCAAGUCAUGUAUUCCUAAUCCCCCUUGUUCUUCUGGCUGGCUCAUUAUAUUCCAUCUUACUAAUCUAUAUCUCUUUUUAUGUUGGUCAUUUUGCCAAAAAAACCUUGAAUUAUAGUAUUCAAUUUUCUUAAGGACUCCUCUUAGGACUAAAAAAAGAGCAUGAACAUAGGUAGAUUAGAGAGAACCAAGUUUAUUAGCACUAGACAUCCUCCUAUGUACAGGAGUUUUCCCUUCCAACCACUUAACCUUUUCUCUAUUAUAUAUUUUUAUUUUCAGAGGAAUCUUCCUAUGCCAAAUUUCUUGUGUAACUUGGACUCCGUUAUUAACUAGGUGCCUAUACAUGGAGUUCACCGUGAAAACUCCAUUCUUAUGUAGAUUCCACACAAUACCCUCAUUCAAAUUAAUAUGUGCUAUUCUCGUGACAAGGUUAUACCACUCAAUUAACUUAUUCCUAACUAAAGCUCUCCUAAACGAAACAUUACCUGGGUUCAUACCGAGCACUUCUGCCACAAUUGCGUGUUUUCUUUGCACUAUGGGGGUGUUUGGAUCCUUGAGCUAAAGUUUAGUCCGUGUCACAUCGAAUAUUCGGAUACUAAUUAGGAGGACUAAACGUGAGCUAAUUACAAAACUAAUUGCGGAACCCCUAGGCUAAAUCGCGAGACGAAUCUAUUAAGCCUAAUUAAUCCAUCAUUAGCGAAUGUUUACUGUAGCACCAUAUUGUCAAAUCAUGGACUAAUUAGACUUAAUGGAUUCGUCUCGCGAUUUAGCCUAGGGGUUGUGAAAUUGGUUUUGUAAUUAGCCUAUGUUUAAUACUCCUAAUUAGUGUCCAAACAUUCGAUGUGACAGGGGCUAAAGUUUAGCCCGGGGCUCCAAACACCCCCUAUAUUAAAUAGAUUAGGGUAUUGGAAUUUUAAAACCCGGGUACCUAACCAUUUAUCCUCAUGAUUUGGUUACCGUUAUUUAGCCUGAACCUUCCUAGAUAUAGGAAUUGGUCUUUUACCCCCAUCGAGCUUGACAGAAGUGAGAAUCCCAGCUCUUUUACUCACCUGGCUUAAGGUUUUAUUCUUUAGAUAUUUAUUUCUGAGCAGUUCCUGCCACAACCCCUCUUCGUUACACAGCUUAAAAAGUCAUUUGCUUAGAAAGCAUUUGUUUUGUAUGUCCAAGUCCUGUAUUCCUAAUCCCCCUUGUUCUUUUAGCUGGCUCAUUAUAUUCCAUCUUACUAAACUAUAUCUCUUUUUAUGUUGGUCAUUUUGCUAAAAAAAACCUUGACUUAUAGUAUUCAAUUUUCUUAAGGACCCCUCUUGGGACUAAAAAAAGAGCAUGAACAUAGGUAGAUCAAAGAGAACCAAGUUUAUUAGCACUAGACGUCCUCCUAUGUACAGGAGUUUUCCCUUCCAACCACUUAACCUUUUCUCUAUUAUAUCCUCUACUUCCUUCCGGUCUUUGUUUCCUAGCUUUCUAUAAUGCAUUGGGAUCCUAAAUAGCGAAAAGGGUAAGAGCCUAAUUUACACCCGAAAAAGCUGUAAUACUGAGAUUCAUAGGCUUUUGCUUGCCAAAGAAAAAGAUUUCGUUUUUGUGAAAGUUAAUUUUGGUGAACUAGGCCGCCGAGGCACGCAGGUGGCGCUGCCCGGCUGAUCAAGUCGGCCGGCAUUGCAUUUUCGUCUGUGAAAAUAGCUACACGUACUUAAAAGGUUUGACUUGGGAUAAAUUUAGAAUAACUUGUUUUUUUUUGACAGAGCGAGGGAACUGUACAAGCAAGUUGUACGACCAGUACCAUCAUCAGUUCAGUCUUCGGUGCGAUCGUAUACUCGUAUCAGUUCAGUCACGCGCGCACCCGAUUUUGCGCAAUGGACCUGACCACGGCCCGCCCGCACAACGCGAAUGGCGGGCCAUUUUGGUCGAGGUGGGACGUUCUGGCCCAACCCCAACAAUCCAUCCAUACAUAGCCAGCCGACAAGGAUGGAGGAGGGGACCAGUUUUCUGUUCUUUUGAAGGAAGGAGGAGUUGGGUGGUUGCAGGCCGAGCAAUCAUAUUGGGCCAGAAGACAAGGGGAUGUACGAUCCCUUGGAGGCCCAAACGAGGUCUUUUCCCGUCAUUUGUUUAUUUCUUCGAAGGAAUGGCUCUGAGAAAUACAGGGCCGAGCUUCGCCUCCUCCAAAACUGACUUCGGAGGAAGCUGAAGCCCUUUUGAAAAAUUAUUUGGCAAAACGGCUCUUCCAUGUAAUUUAAAAUGGUUAGAUAAGAUGAAAUACCCAUAAUACCCUUCCUUUUUCUUUUCUUCCUAUUUCUUUAUUGUAUUUCUUUUCUCUUCUUUCAGCCUCCCACCGUCGGGCUCCCAUUCUCUCUCUUCCCAUCCCUAUCCAUCUCCCAGCCCCCGCCGCCCGCAUCCCGGUCUCCCGCCGCUAGCCCACCCCCACCGCCCGCGGCCGGCCCCCACCUCCCGCCGUCGCCGUCGUCCACCUCCCGGCCGCCUCCGCCCCCACCUCCCGGCCGUCUCCGCCCUCACCCCCAUCUCCGCCUGCCUGCUACCGCCUCCGCCUGCCUGCGGGCCCUCCCCCAAGGGUACGGGUGGGAAACGAGGAGGAGGAGCUGCGGGAGCCUAUUUUUUUGGCUCCGCCUCCCCGGAACGGCUCCUGAGAACGGAAUUCGUGGGGUGAAGCCGCCGGAGCCCUUUCAAGGAGCCGCUCCCAGAGCACCGCCAAAUGGGGCCAUAUCCAUGCCUUGCUACUUACCAACGACAGAGAGGACCGAGCUCGGCUACAAUUCGGCCGCCUCACUCGCGGAAGAGACAAUGAAAUGACACUGUUCUGAGAACCGCGCAUAGCGCGGUUGGCAACGGCGCCAGGUGUGCGCCCACGCCUGCCCGCAUUCGAGCCUUGGCUCCCGCAGGUGCUCACUGGGGUUUUCCCCAAAAUAGUUUGUUGCCUCUUAUCGAUGUUUAGACCCGGCAACCUACCGAGGUGGGUGCUCGAGAUAGUGUUUGGGGCUUGUCGAGAUCAGGAACUCAAAGAUAAACGUAAAGACACGAUUUAGACAGGUUCGGGUCGCUAGAUUGCAUAAUACCCUACGUCAUGUGCGUUGGUUGGAUUGAAUUGCUUUGGAGGGGGUCCGUGCCUUGUCUUAUAUUGCUGGGGGUAGGGUUACAGGUUGGUUGAUUUACAAGAAUACUAGUCGGAUUCGACUAUACGAGUUCUACUCCUAUUGCUAAGAGUACUUUUCCUAAUCCUCGAUAAGUUCCUGUCUAGCCACGUAGACUACGCCGUCCUGCACCAUAAUCUCCAUGUCAUAUACUUCUCGAUAUCUAGCCCCAAUCCUCGACUAGUUCCUGUCUAGCCAUGUAGACUACGCCGUCCUGCACCAUAAUCUCCAUGUCAUAUACGUCUCGAUAUCUAGCCCCAUGUUUAGGACUGUCCAAAACUUCUGGUGGGUCCAUAAAUGUAUGUACAACACCUCUCACACGUGAAGCCACAAUGGGAUUGCGACGUCCCCAUCGCCUACGGACUCAUGAUGACUCCGGUGAUCUCAAGGACACAGGGUGGGUGUGCAUGCAUGUGUGAACAGAUACUAUACGAGGGGUUUAAAAAAAAAGAUGGCACUGUUCUUCAUAGACGACGAUCCAUCCAGGGCGUAUGCACACACAUAGGUUAUAUGCGCGCAAUGAUCCAUUCACAAAGCUUAAUUUAUCCCCCUAACCCUAAUAUAAAGAACGCUUGCGCUGCGUUUUCUGACUUAAUCGGAAGAUUAAAAAAAUGCCAAGUUGCUUCGGUACUUUAAUGGAAGCUGGAUUCUAGUCGACGGCCCGGGAGCAGAAUCUUCUGCUUCAUAUCAUACAAAACUGAGCUUGACCCAGCGCUACCACGCUAUUCGCUGCUGCUCUCAGUUUUUAUUCAGGAUGGCGUACCGGUGAUCUUGGACGUCUCGCAGCAAACGCCGGCCAAUAUAUAGUAGUGGGGCUCACUCUAGUACUUCAAUAGACAGAUCCCUGAUGCACAAGAUAGCCGGAUAAUUAGUUGGAGAGAAGCACUCAAUUUUCUGAUUCUGAAGUCACACAACGGGCCAGUGAUGAUAUAAACUCAGAUGUUCUCUUAGCUUUGGAAUACUGAACCGUUGACGAUUUACGGGGCUUUACAGUUGCCUUUCUCGGUUGUUAUAGGGUGUGUACCAACAUGAAGGCCCGGAUCCGUUAGAGCUAAUGGUUAGCUAGGUGGAGGCAGCUAGUUGUUACCUGACUAGCUAAGAGUUGUUAGCUGGGAAUUAUCUAGGCUUGUUUAGAUCAGCUAGAACUAAAAUUAGAUGGAUAGCUCUAACUGGGUGGAUCCAGACAUGCCCUAAGUUUUUCUAAUUGGCAACGAUAACACUUCAAUUUAAACCACAACAGAGCAUGAAACUUAAACCCUCACUCGGACUUUUAGAUUGCAAUAUUGAUCUUUACAUUUGAUAUAAAAAAAAGAAGUUGUAUAUAACCCUUUAAAUUUCAAAGUUUACUUAAUUAUGAAAACGUCAGGUGGCGAAGAACGGUGCUAGUUGGCUCUUGUGGCAAAUGUGAAAAAGAUUUUGGAGCGGCUUGACGUGGUGUUCCAACAACUUCUAAAUAGCGGCUUUUUUUGACAAAAAUGUAUCCUUGCCCUAAAUCCCCUUUCCAAUACGUGAAAGGCUAUAUAAAGAUUGUCAUGAUAAAAAUUCAUGUAUGUUCUUAGCUUAAAUUGCUUCGGUGGCUAUACUAGAAUAUUAGGCUAUGGAUGAUUCAUGGCGCUUUGUUAGUUGUCUUCCUUGGUUUGGCUGUUCUAGUGUGUGCGCAUAUGUGUAACAAAAAAGGCUUUCAAACCACAAUAUAACAUUUAUUAAAACAUCAAAUUCUUAUAGAUUGCAGACUUAUUAUACUUUACAUUUGAUAUAAAAAACAACAUGCAAUCUAUAAAUUUUGAUUUUCGUUAAAACCCCCUCAAAUUCCAACCUUUACUUAUGACAAUGAUGGGUGAUGAGGCAUGGUGUCCGUUGGCUCCUGUGGCAAAUGUGAAAAAAAAAACUUGGGAGAGGCUUGACGUGGUGUGCCAACAGCCACAAAAAUAAUGUCUUUCCUUAAAAUAUUAUUUUGUAGCUUUGUCAUAAAUCCCCUUUCCAAUAUGUGAAAGGUUGUCUGAUAAUUGCUAUGAAACUAGAGCCUGUGGUGCUUGUGAAAAAUUAAACAAAGCUAUUCUCGUGAUAUAUAUUGUGUGACGCGGCGCUCCAACAAUUGCUAAAAAGCAUCUUAGGAAAAUGUACUUCGCAACAAGUACUCUUUGCAAACUUGGAAGGUUAUCCGAUGAUCUCAACUUGCGAAUAAAAAGGCUAGAAAUACCAAACACAUGAACAAUAUCCUAGAGCUCUAUAAUUGCCGGUCACUAUAACAUAUGACAUGGUGGCAUGGGUGCUAUAAUCGACUAGGAGCAGGAAAUCUAGCACCCCUGCCUCGUAGGCGGCAUGAUAAGCCGCUCACAGAAAAAACAAACUAAACCUAAGCAACCUCUCUAAUGCAGCAAAGCGCUAGCACUACCCUUUUGCACUUGAGAAAAGGCAAAAUUUUGACGUACGCGGCGGCUGUCCGGACGGCCCAACGUACGUACAGAGGCCCGUAGCGACUUGACGUACGUGAUUUACGCUGUUAGGUUAUGAGUUUUUAAUCGCCAACUAAAAUCGCUCAUUACACCUUAAAAAAAUCACUCAUUACGUGCGGCCUAGCUGGAGCUUGGUCGGUUUCCCGGGUUUUCGUUCUUCAACGGUGCUCGGUUACGUGGACUGCAAUUGUAAAAAAUACCGGCGAGGCGAUUGAUCGUGCCUACUUAAUCUAAUCACCCAACAACGUCAUUCUCCAUCAUUCCCAUUUUUUAAGUGUGUGGUGGCUACCAAAACCGCCGAUCCCAGUGGUUUCCCGCUGGGUAGCAUGCCCUACGCGUACGCCCAAACAUCUGCACCUGCCUUGUGCCAGCCAAGUGUCACUGUGACAUGCAUUCCGAGUCCUUGCUCCUCUCACUGACAGGUGGGUCCAGUGAACACGUGGAAUCUCCAAGGCCUGGCCGUCAGUGCGAAGGGUUGUGCGAGUAGUCGGUCGGAAACGUAGUUGGACUGGUUCUUUUCUUACUCGAAAUGGUGUCCAAGGUUAUAAAAAGGGCGCCAAGUGGUGGCAUCCACCGUUGAUAGUUGGGCAGCAGCUUAUAUAUUCAGGAAAACCUCUGUACUCGCCCAUUGGUUGCGGCUUGCGUCACUGCCUCGCAAGUAGGUGAUAUAUCUUAUUCUUUGCUCCAAUGAUUGUUUAAGGCGUUUCUUGGGAGCAAUCUUGUCCUUUUGAAUCUGGAAGAAUCCAUCAUUCCUAAUGGAUCUGUCCAAAGCAAUUUAAUGCAUAAUGCAGCUAGCAGCUUGAGAUGAUGAUGAUAGCAGCAUGCCAGUGACAGCUCCAUGUAAGUUCGUCAGUUAUUCUCAGGGGUCCCAGCAGCACCAUGAAUGAUUCCUGAACCAGACCUUCUCUGAAUGUUAUUCAAGCACAAUUUCCUAUUAUAGAAACAGUGGGGCUAAUUGUAGUAAAGUUCAGUUCUGCGACCCGCGCGCCCUUCGCCCCGCCCCGCCCCGCCCGGCCCGGCGAGGCGAGGCGAGCGAGCGCGCACGUGUGGAGCUUUCCUUCCCUCCCACACACAUAGCUUGGAGGAGUGGAGACAACUUCCAUAUUUAAGUUGGUCAUCUCUCCCCUCCACUAGCAAUGUGGGACUAAAGAUUUGCACUCCACCUCUUGCCCACAUGGGCCUUUGAGAUUUAAUUGAAAUUCUGAAAUUACUAAUGGGCUAGGCCCAUUAUUUCAACAGCAACUUGGCACACCAUGUUUUCAGAUUGUAGAAGUCGCGGAAACCAUGAUUUGACUUGUUAAUUGCUACAUUAGCAAGUCAAGUUGCACUCCAAGCUAGCAUUUAAAAUGCGUAUGAUUGGAGCUAGUUAAUAAUAGAAAUACUACUCCGGCUAGCUCCAAACAGGCAGAGCCAGCAGCGGUUGAAAUAAUGCUCAGACCACUGAAUCUUGCAGCGAUCCAGACGUCCGAAAAUUUUCGUUCUGGUGUGGAAGUACUCAAGCCACGAACUAAACCCGUGUUGAGGUAGCCGGAAACAGAGAUUAAAGAAUGAUCUAUCUGUGACGCAGGCAUGGCGGUCCAGUCAGGGUUCACCGUACGCGAUCGGCACCAGAAAUGGCACGCUCAUCAGCAUGCGCGCGGCGUAGUGGCCGGCAUUAUAUAGGAUCAUGUUGCUGGUGAUAACUGAUAAGCUGUCAACUGGGAACAAUGCCGUGAUGACUCAGCUACAGCUUGGAUUCGAGGCAGACGGUUCCGCGGCGUAGUAGCUCUCACAAAGUUUUAUCAUCUAUAGCAUGCACUAUCUCAGGUGCAAAUAUUAGAUAAACUAGCCCGAAAGAGAACCGAACUUAGGAUCAGCAAAUCAGGUAUAUACCUAAGAUUUGCUGUCCUAACUCCUAACAGAGGAUCAGCAAGCACUAAGACAUUCUAUAACAGGGAAAGCUAAACCUUCUCCCCGCUUUGACAGACGAGCUUUUCUCUUCUCACUCUUCAUGUGUGAGUGAUAUGCUUUAGAGACAACAAAUAACUAUUGGGGCUCAUAGAUUUGGAUUUUGUGUGGACAGUGCUAUGCAAGAUUAUUUACUAAUAGGCCUAUAAUGUGGCAGAUGGCCGGAGGAGGACGGCGAGGGGGCGGUGUCGGUCGGCGAUGGCAAAGAAGCAUUGGGGGCUAAACAAAACGAGAAUGGCAGGAGGUGGUAGGAGGAAGAACUGUUAGAUUGGUGAUCAACGUGUGGUUCAACAAAUUCAAGGGCUAAGAUGCCUUAUAAUGUCAGACUAGUAGUAUUUCUAGUUUUCUACGAUUGGGCAAUGAAUGUACUAGGUUAUAUAUACAGAUACCAAACCUAUAUCGUCCUAGAGGCUAGCUAGCUGCAGCACCUCCGUCGUCCAACCCAAAGUUGGAGGUCGUCGUCUACUUUUCAGAAUAUUUUCAGAAUAAGCAGCAACAGCCUGUUCAGAAUAUGUUCGUCGUCUGCUUUUCGAUCCAAUCAUCUUUGAUCCUCUAGUCAACCGUCCAUCGUCCAUCACUCGCGCCGAAUCGCUGGUUCCAGAACGCACGCAACUUGUAGCCGCGUCUCCUGCUUUCUUGCACUGCUUGCUCCUGUUGCCUCUCAAAUCUGAACACGCUGGAAGCUAGCCUCUCUAAUGUUCUUAAAAUAGCUGACGACUAACAACCCCGUCCAUUGUCACCACCAACCUCUCUAAUAGCUGACGAGACGGGGGGCAAUCGUUAGCUCCUAAGUCUUAUCGAUCGAUCAAGUUAAUUUCCGCCUUGUUACUUGUUGACCCGAACCACUAACCUCACUCAGUCGCUCCGAUUGGAUGGAAGAACGACAAGCACAACACCAAUACCUACUACUCAAGCUCGAUCGAUCACCUGGCCUCCCGUUAGUCGUCUGACGAUCGAGGAAAAGAAAAUGUCACGGGAAACGUAUGGAGCUCCAGCUCCAUGCAUGGCCGUAGCUUUCCAAAGCUUUUACUUCCUCGCAGCGCAGCUAGCUUUCCGGCGAGCGCGAAACCUCAUAACCCCGCUGAAAGCGACCGGCCGGGCCGGCGGGCGACGAUCUCCACCACUGGCGUCACCACCACCCACCCACCAAGGCCUGGGACCCGGGGCACCGGCGAGUGGCGGCGCUCCACGCGGCGGGCAGCGAGAGGCCGGUGGCGCGUUCCUUGUCGCCUUCCCCGCGCGCGGGCGGAGGCCCACCACGCCCUGGGCUUACCAGGAAUCUCCCCACCGCGGAGGGAGAUUCAGUCGCGCUCACUGACACGCGGGGCGGGAUUCCGUGGGCCGCCGUCCCUGUCGGUGGGGGCGCGUGGGGGCCACGCUCCGGUGCCCACCCGGUUUCUUUACUCGGGUCGGGCGGGGGGCGCGUGAACGGCACGGGAAAAAGGUGGAACGGCCUGUUCAGCCGAGCCGAGCCGAAACGGGAGGCUUGUGGUGUGUAGCCCUUGAGCGGCUCGGCCAAUGGGGAGAGGAACUGCAUGCGUCCAAUCAGGCCUUUGAGGGUCUGUUUGGUUGGAAUAUUAGCUGUGAAAAAUAUCUGCGAAAAAGAUGCAGCGGGCUGUGAGCUGAUGCUGUGGGUAUGAGAUGCGAAAAGGCUAAAAGCUGUUUGGUUGAAACAGCUGUGAAACUGUAGGUUCGGCAAGAAAUAUCUGUAAUACCCCUGAAAGUAUAAAAGAUUGUUGAUAUGCAAAUUGAUCAUAAAACGCUAUGUUAUUCACUGAUUCAUAUCUAAAUUAUCAUUUUAGAAAAGAAAACUUAUUUUAUUUUUAAUUUUUAACGUAUCAAGUAGAGCAAAACGCUAGCUAACUCGGCUAAUCUUAUAUUACGCAAGUAUCAAUGAUUAAGACGUUAAUCCAAGUAUCCAACAAUCCGCUCACAAGUAUCAAUGAUUAAGACGUUAAUCCAAGUAUGCACCGUCACAAGCGGCGCAACCUUAUCCUCUUCUAUCAGUGAAGGCGCCGGUGAAGCUGCUAACAAAUGUGGAGAAGCGAGGCCGCGCAUGGCUAGCAAUCCACCGUCGCCCACUCCAUCUAGGUAUAAAAAUCGAACCUUGAAGAACCACUUAUGCUCAUGUCUCCCUCAAUUUCAUGCGUGCAUCAAGUUUCCACGGCUGUUUUUGGCCUCGCCGCCGGGAAGAGAGGAGGGGGUCGGAGUGGAGAGGUGCGUCAUUGCCGCAAGAGGAGGAGGGGAUUGGGGAAGGGCGUCGUCGGGAAGAGAGGAGGGGGUCGGAGUGGGGAGGGGCGCCACUAGUACAGGUGGAGGUCGCACCGUCGGGGCUCGAGGAGGAGGUCGCGCUGCUGGGAAGACGGAGCAGAUGGGAAAGAAGAGAAAAAAACGAACUGGUACGCAACAUAACCAAUGGCAGGUGGGUAAUUUUUGUGAAAAAUUGGAAGCCACGGCAGGUGAAAGCACGGGUGAGGUUGCCGUGAGAUUUGUACCAGCAAAAGGCUACUUUUGGCUGUAGCUUUGGAUGGAAUCCAACCCCUUUGGUUGGCUUUUGACUUUUGGAGAAGCUAAACAUGUUGAAAAGCACAACCAAAGGCAGCCUGAGGUGACACGGACUCCGGCUGUGAAGAGGAAGGGAGAGGAGAGAGGGCCAGCGCAAUUAUUCGAUCCACCACCAUAAUUGGAUGUUUCGUUCGAGAAUCCGCACGAAUGCUAAUUUUUUGCUGAGUAAAAUGUAUGGUCGGCCCUCGAACUUAGCAAUGAGUGUCAUCUGGAUCCCCGAACAUCCACGUCCCUAAACUUGCUAAUUCGCCCACACGAGGUCCAAAUCUUCACCACCCAAGUUAAACUACAUGCGUGGCACGUUAGCUGUGCGUUGACGUGGACCUGACGUGUGGGGCCCACACGUCAGGUCCAUCUUCUCUCGUGCUCUCUCUUCCCCUUCCCAUUCUCUCUCUCUUGCCACAACGCCGCCGUACAAGCUUGCUCCGUCCACCGCACCAUCCGACCUCGCCGCCGGGCGGGCCUCGCCCCACCUCCGCUCGAGCCAGGCCGCCGCAGCUAGUUCCUCCCGCACCAGGCCGCCACCGCCAUCCCUCCCACCUGGGCCCGCCGCCAUUCGCUCCACCCGCGCGGGAGCUCGCCCUCGCGGUCGUACGCACCUCCCGCUCCCGGGCCUGGCUGCCGCCGCCGCCCGCUCCUCCUGCGCCCGGCCUCCGCCGCCGCCCACUCCUGAGGAGGGCCCGCCGCAGUUCCCUCCUCCCGCGUAGGGCCGUCGUGGCCGACCGCUCCUCCCGCUCCCGAGCCUGGCCGCCGCUUCCGCCCGCUCCACCCGCGUGGAGCCGCAGCCACCGGCGAGGCGAGCUCCCGCGCGGGUGGUGCGAACGGCGGCGGGCCCAGGUGGGAGGGAUGGCGGUGGCGGCCGGGUGCGGGAGGAACUGGCGGCGGCGGCCUGACUCGGGUGGAGGUGGGGCGAGGCCCGCCCGGCGGCGAGGUCGGGUGGCGCUGGAUCGGGGCGAGCGCUGGCGGCGAGGUCGGAUGGUGCGGUGGACGGAGCGAGCUUGUACGGCGGCGUUGUGGCAAGAGAGAGAGAAGGGAAGGGGAAGAGGGAGCAUGAGAGAAAAUGGGCCCCACACGUCAGGUCCACGCCAACGCACAGCGCAUGCAGUUUAACUUGGGUGGUGAAGAUUUUGGACCUAACGUGCCACGCAUGCAGUUUAACUGUUUAACUUGGGCGGUGAAGAUUUAGAAUUAGUAUGUUUAUGAACGUGGAUGUCCAUUUUGAGAGUUCGGGAAUCUAAAUAACAUUUCUUCUCAAGUUCAAGAGUUAGCCGCAUAUUUUAAUUUUUUUUUUCUUGCGAGGCUAGUGUAGCCAUCUUAAAUUUUCGGUGGUUCCAUCGGGCCAAGAACGUAAUGGUGAGUUUUUCUGGGAGAGGAUGAUCGGCAUAUCCUCACUGCGUUGAUUUCUAGGUUCUCGGAGUUCCUUUUUCUUCCCUUCAAACUGCAUACAUGCUUUUUUUUUAAUGAUGCAGUGUCCUCGUAGAUGUAUAAUAAUGUGAAAUUAACUUUGCAUAGUCUCUAAGAGCACGUUUCUUUCAAGAAUUUAAAAGAUAAAGCAAUAUUACCUACGAAUAAUCGACACCCUUUUUAAAACCUUGGAAUGGAGUAUUCUACUCUACAGGUGGAGCAAGAUAUAGCACCUACUUUUGAUUAAACUGGUUUGUCUUUGAGUUGGUCACUCUAUCUAUCCAUUUUUUUUGUGCAUGGUAUAUCCUCUCAAUGGAUCCUUUGGUCUUGAGCAUUAGUGCUACUUCAAUCAUCCAUCGAAUCAGUUCGCACGGAGAGGGAGACGCAUUGAAAAAUGAAAGGAAAAAGGAACAUGACUAAGUAGUUGUUUAGUUAGACUUUACUUCAAGGCUUUAGAAUAAUGGUAACAUUUUCUUGUAAUACCUAUGCAACUAAAUCCGUUGCAGAGCACCCACUUGUUUCUACAUGUCAUUAUCAGUUAUCACACAAGAAUAAACCAUGAAUAAGAAAAAUUUAUUAUAGAUUAUCUACAUAUGUUCAUUAUUAAGUCGCCUACACAUCCCUGCUACUAAAUCAACACAUGCAAAGAUUUAGAAAAAGCUCUCACCAGCAGAGAGAUACAUAAAAAGGAAUAAAAAGACAAGACAACAUAUAUACUUGUUUAGUUGGACUUCACUUCAAGGAUUUUUUUUUUAUAACAUAGUAUAGACGCAGACGCUCGCUUCAAGGAUUUUAAAUAGCUAUGUAUUAAUGUAUAUAUUUACAUUACCCAUUUGCACAACACACAUGCUUGUCGCUGCAUGUCCUCCUCGUAGAAGAAUGAACCAUGAAAAAAAACAAUCAUCUACACAUGUGCAUUACAAUUUCUUGCUACUAAUGUAAACACAUGCAUACAUGUAAAGAUAACAUGAAGUCCUGAGAAAGUGAACCUAGCUCUUGGGAGCACAAGUCAAGUUCAACUCAAACAGGGUAGCUAUUUUUAUGUUUGUUAAUGAAAAAUCAUCCUAGUUCCUUUGAUCCUAGAUUCACUAGUAGAGAAUUCACCUUCCAUGCACCCCAUUUUGUCCCGGUUUAAAGUUGGCCCGGGACAAAAGGUUCACCAACUGGACUAAAGCUCGGUCACUGGUGGGGGGCUCACCAACCGGGACCUUUUAUCCUGGUUGCAAAGGCUAGUGGAAAAAAAAGACCUUGAGAGGCCUUUUAUCCCGGUUUGAAACACCAACCGGGGUAAAAGACCCUCCUUUUAUCCCGGUUGGUAACACUGACCGGGAUAAAAGGCUGAAAGAAGACUAAAUUCCUCGAACCCUUUUAUCCUGGUUUGUAAUACCAACCGGGAUAAAAGGGGGUCUUUUAUCCCGGUUGGUGUUUCCAACCGGGAUAAAAGGAUCCCCCAUGAGGUAAUACAAAAGGAUUGCAUCCCCUAUAUAGUCAGAUGUGCUGUGUAUGUGGGAUGGCAAGGAAGCUACGCGCGAGGCUGGAGGUUGUGGGUUCGAAUCCCACGCAGCGUGCAUGCACAUAUUUCGCGUGAAAAAUCACGUGACUUGUGACUUGCGACGUGCGCGUGUGGAGGGCCUCGUAGGAGCCUGGGAUUUCUUUGGAACCGAUGGAGCAAGUGAGUUGCCAAGAAUGAUCAACAUAUGUGCUUUGUAGUCUACUACAAUUUCUAGGUACUAAAAUUAGCACAUGCAUAGAUGUAAAGACUAGAGCAUAUAGAGUAGCUGCAGAAAGGAAGAAGCAUAUAUAUCUUCCACAGCACAAUUCUAUUUUUGUUGAUACCAUACUUCAUACGCUACUGGAAAACUGAGCAUUGGUCCUAGCUCUUAGUACCAGUUAUUUUUUGACUCGGUACUAAUGUGAGCAUUAGUACCGGGUCUAAUCGCUAGUUCCCUAGGAGCUCCCCGUGACCCCCUUUAGUACCGGUUGGGAGCUCCAACAGGUACUAAAGGUCACCCAUUAGUAUCGGGUGGAGGCUCGGCUUCACCCGAUACUAAACCCAGUCGCAGCACCCACCCCCGCGCGCCUCCUUAUUCGCUCCCCCUCCCUCUCUCGCGUCGUCCCUCUCUCUCCUCUUCCUCUCCUGCCGCCCCCUCCCCUCUCCCACCGCCACCCCCUCCCUCUCCCGUCGCCACCCCCUCCUCCUCCCUCUCUCGUCCGGGAAGCGGCAACGCGCGGGGGAGCGGCUGCCAGCCAGAGGCGGUGGGGCACAGGGGUGCGGCGGCGGGCCGGAUGCGGCAGCGCGCGGGGCACAUGUAUUUUCUUUUUUCUUGCUCCAGGGCCGACGGCGGCGGCACCACCACGCCCCUUUCCUUCCCUAUCCCGCACCUCCCCUCCCCUCCCUUCCCUCUUACCGCGCCAGGCUCCGACGCUCCGGGCUCCAGCAGCAGCUUGAUCCAGCGGGGCAGCGUGGCGGCGGCGGCGGCGAGGCAGCAGGGUGCGGUCGGCCGGAUCCGGUGGGGCCGCGGAUGUCGGCGGCCGGCCGCACGGUCAAAUCCGGCGAGGUGCGACCGGCGGGAUACAGGUUGCGGGGGAGGGGCAGCCGUCGCUGACGAGGCGCGGUGGUGGGGCAGCCAGGCACGGUCGGCGGGAUGCGAGGCUGGGCGACCGGCUGGAUUUCUUUUAUUAUUUUUUAAUACCCCUUUAGUACCGGUUAUUUGAGACCUUUAGUACCGAAGUAGCAAUACCGGUUGCACAAUCGAUACUAAAGGGAGGUUAGGAACUGGUAAUAAAGGGGUGUUUGGGAGACAGGGGCUAAACUUUAGCCCUGUCACAUCGGAUGUUCGGAUGCUAAUUAGGAUGACUAAAUAUGAGCUAAUUACAAAACUAAUAGCACAACCCCUAGGCUAAAUCGCGAGACGAAUCUAUUAAGCCUAAUUAAUCCAUCAUUAGCGAAUGGUUACUAUAGCACCACAUUGUCAAAUCAUGGACUAAUUAGGCUUAAUAGAUUCGUCUCGCGAUUUAGCCUAGGGGUUGUGCAAUUAAUUUUGUAAUUAACCAAUAUUUAAUACUUCUAAUUAGUGUCCAAACAUCUGAUGUGACAGGGACUAAAUUUUAGCCCCUGUGUGCCAAACACCCCCAGCAGUGAUAACACCACUAAUAAUAAGCAUCAAUGCAAGUGGACACAAAGCAACAAUAAUAAGCAUGGCCCACUCCAUAAGAAUCUGGCUACCAACCAAACCAAUUGAAGCGCUCCUUCUUGAUGAUUUGUGGAGAAGGAUCUAGAAUGAGAGGCCCCCAAGUAAUGCAGCUUGUGCACGUAAUGUUCUAGCCAAUCGCAUAAUCGUGUCGCUGCGUAGGACUUUUCUUGUACAGCUCAUGACCUCUUCUUUUCGUUGAAAGCGAUGUGAUGAUGAGCUGGUCCAGUCCCCCGGUGGUUUGGUUCACUUGCACGGUUUGUUACAUAGCUUUGUUUGUACUGCUUGAAUUUUGUUGGCUUACAUGAAUCUUGGAAUUUUUCAAGCAUAUGUGGUUGGCAAGCAAGCUGCCAUUAUUGGGCAAUACCCAUAGAUUCAGUAGUCGAUGGAUCUAAGAGUACACACGAUGGCAUUCGACUCUACGGCGAGUCGCUAAUUGCGUCUUAGACUAUGUUUGUUUUGGUCGUGAUAGUUUUUAGAGGAAAGAUAUCUUGUGGUAACAAUUCUCCUAAGUUCCCAUUCUAUUUUGCAUUUUCAUAAAUGGUUCCCUUAACCUUGCCUUCUUUCGGGUUCUUUUUUCGAGAGGUAGGUUUGAAGUCCUCCUCGUCGAACUCCUCCCUUGGAGCAUUGACCACUUGCCCUAUGGGCAGUUCCUGCUAUCAUGACUCAUAUAUGGAGUCAUGGUCAUACCGUCGAGAAUAUGGUUCAUGUAUUUGUUCAGUUGGCACAUGGUUCGUAGUACUUCCUCCAUCUCAAUUAUUAUUCAUUUUGAUUUUUCUAGAUACACAUCUUUUGAUAUGCACCUAGAUAUAUAUAUAUACAAUGUCUAGAUACAUAGUAAAAGUGAUGUAUCUAGAAAAGUCAAAACGAAUAUUAAUUUGGGACGGAGGGAGUACAAAGUAUAACUUCAAAUUAGACGCAUAACCCAAUGCCAAUUUGGUGCUCCGGAUAAUUGAACAUCCAAGUGAACUUACCGAGAUGUUGAGAGCACCUCCUACAAAAACCAGCGUCACUUUCUUUUUCCACCCAAGGAAAAAGAAUAGAACAUGACUUUGUCUGGAAGAGAACACGGAGAGAUGCUGAAAACAUCCCCAUCCGAAUUCGCCCCGCGAGACCUAACCGAUGUGCCGUUGCGAUUCCACAAAAGUAGGCACUGGCGCGGUGGGGCGAACAAUCCACCGGAGGCGGGGCCCGGCCCGGCGGAACGUACCCCCAACUAAACGCAGGCCACAGACGCCACCGGCUGGGGCAUCCCGUCGGCAUCGGCUGGAGCCGCCGCCCGGCCGGCGCGAGCCGCAGCUGGAGCCAGGUGCGCGUCGGAGAGGCGCCGCCGUCAUGUGACGUCGCGGGCGCACGAGGUCCCCUCCCCGCACCGCAAGCAUAAUGCUCCGUCAGCCUGAGGCCAAGGCCACGCUCUCCCCUGCCUGCCUCCGCAUAAUAAAAUCUCCCUGCACCCUCCCUGGCUUCUCUCCUCUCUCUCCCUCGCCGCGCCUGCGAUCCUCUCCGCUGAGAUGCGAGGUGAUUCCCUGCUCCCCUUUCUCCUCCGCCUCUGCUUUCUCGCCGAGAUUCCGCUCGGCGUUGCUGGUCCUCUGCCAUGGCCGUUUGCUUGUUCAGCUGCCUUGUGCUAGGCGUAGAGCAUGAUAAGACUAGCUAGAGACUAGACUAGGCAUGCAUGUCGUGGUAGCUUUUGCGGCGGGUGAGUUCUUCGCCGAUUCUGACCGCUGAUUCGAGGUUUUUGAGGUUUCUGCCAUGGAUGAAUACGGUUAGAAUGUUCAUUCAGAUCUGUCCCGUCGUCCUGCACAUGUCGUUCGUCCCGGAAGUCCGGCAGUCCGGUUCUUCUUGCGUGGUCGCCGGAGUUGCUGCACGAAUCUGGUGCGUCUCUGUUGAGGGCUAUGAUGGGGGUAGGGGGAGUCCUGUGCGAAGAGUUUUGGACUCUUUCAGGUUGUCUUGUCAGGUUUUGGUCUGUUCUUCGGAUACUGUUCGCGAUUUGAGGCAGACCACGCGGGAGGCCAGAGGCCACUCGAAAUUCUCUCUUUUCUUGCUUUUUUUUUUUCAUUCACUUGAUGAAGGUGUGGCGAGGCAAGGGUCUCAGAGUCCAUUAGUGCACCGAGAUUUACUCCAAACAUUUUUUCUGUUUUCGUAUCUUCCUGAAACCGUCCUAGAUCAACACCUGGUUUUCAAAAAAUUGAGAACCAGGACAAUCUUUUGCCCUGCUCCAUGCCUUGCAAGUGGCAGCAUAUUCACUACACUUUGCCCAUGGCGAGCGUCAUGUAUAGGUAGGUAGCCCAAUUCGACAUGUUCCGCUGUUUCUGAAUCUUAGUAGGCUGCUUCUUCUUCUUUUUGCCAUCUUCCAAAGAUUGUAGGGAUAAGGGUUACGUAGAAUACUACCUAAGAUCUAUUUUAGGACUUCAAAUUUUAACAUGAUUUUUUUCUGCAAUUAACAUAAUUCUUGCAUGAUUGCUACGAAAUUCCUACGCCUGAUAUAGUUCUUGGGGACUCUAAUGAGAUUCGUCUGAACCAAACCGAUUCUUGUGCCCCUGAUAUUCUUUUCCACGGCUAUUGGAAUUGCUGUACGGUCGAGUCAACUGAAUGGCUCUUCCUAUUGUCUUAGAAAAUUUGCUCAAAGGUAUGAGCUCUGACCCAGCUGUUUGUAACGUAUAGGAUUCUUGUAUGGUUGCAAGCAUAGGUAUGACCUGAGCAAACCCAAAUUAUGUAGUUCUAUAAGAAGGUUUGUACGGGCUGGUACCAUCACUGACUGAUUCAGGAACAAUCAUGCAUUAAGUUAGGUGAAAUCCAUUUGGUUUUCUCGAGAUUUUUAGCGUAGCCUAUCUAGGGAUUGAUAGCUAGGAAAGUCAACUUGUUCAGCCGAGAUGUCAACGUAUCUUCUUUUGAAGAACUGAAGAUUUUAACAUACCUGUAUAUUGUGCAUACUCUCGUUCUCAAGUAAUCAUGGUGAUCUUCAUUGAUUUUUUUUUUGUUUCGGACUCAUGUUAUGUUUGUGUUUAACAUAUUUUUCUUCUUCAUCCAAACUAAAAGUCUAACACACAAGGUACAAUUAAUUAUUGGAAAAAGAAAAAAAACCCAUCUAUCGGACACAAGUAGAAUAGUUAUGACAGUAUGUUUUACUUUGCUAGUUACCUUCAAUUGUACCAUCAUCUUCCUCUGGUUUGCCACAAAUUAUUGGCCUAUUAAUGAAAAAGUUCCUGGUCAACGUUCUUCCUGAUUAUGAUUGGUCCUUGAUCUCCUUAUACCGAGUCAGCUUUUGUCAAGUGCAGUAAAAUAGACAUUUUCCUUCCAUCCAUAGUUCUGUAGUUACGCACAACCAUAUGACGCGAUGGGUGGUGUGGACAUUAAAUACUAACAAUGAACCACUGUAAAUUGUUGAGCACCAUAUGUUCGGAAUGCAAGAAUUUCACGCAGUAGUAAUUAUGCUGCUGUGAAAUUUUCGCUUGCUAGGGCCUAAGUUUUUUUCCUAGAACAGAAUCUCAACUACAUUUCCACUCCUUGUUGCAGUGUUCUAUUCUGAAGAUAUCACUGGCACAGAGCAACUGGAUUCCUCUGCUUCUUCUUGACGAUCAACUGUCAGUGAACAUCGCUAUAUGGUUUAGUCUGUCAGAGGUCAAGUACCUCCUGGAUCACAAUUUUUAUACUGCAGCAAGACAGUAAUGGACCGGGCAGACACAUCAGGCUUUGUUAGUGGUGGAUCAGAUGGUACUUCACUGCUGCUGAUAUUCUUUCACUUCGUCUACUCGACAGCGCACAUAUAAGAGAUCAGUAAACCCCUGAUCUCACUGUCCAGAAAUACUCUCCUCAUUGUUGCUCUUCCACCUUCACUAUAUUGCAAAGCAUCUAGCUUAGAUGAAUAACGGUUUUGCGGGUAUCCUCCACCGCAGAAACCAGCCUCUGAUGGAUGAUUCUGCAGUGUCGAUUGGUUUCUCGAUGACAGGCUACACAUCAGGCAGCCAUGGUCAGAGUCAGAUAACAUUUGGCCUAGACCGGUUGGGUUCAGCAAUGGACAACAGCUACAGCCAUGGCCAGAGAGGUCUGCGGAGGUCGAGCCAUGCGCCUGCGCAGGAUGAUGGGUGCAGACUAGUCCUUGGACUGGGAACAACGCCAGAGGUUAAUUCUGCUGACCAGCAUCCUGCUGGAGUAGACAAGUCGAGAGCACCUGUGACUUUGUUUGGCCAGAGCUUCUCCUUUACUGAUCCAGGGACGCUGAGCCUUGGGGUUCGCCAGGGCUGCAAUGCUGGAGCAAUUCAACACAAAGAAAUGCCUACCGGCCACAUCAUUUCCUUUGGCGCUGUCGAUGAGGGCUCAACGUCGGCCAGGAGAAGCGCCGGUGGCUUCAUGCCAUCCACUGUCCUCGCUCCUCGGCCAGACUAUGUAGCAGUCGAAGAGGCACAGGGUUUGGUAGAUCACACAGACAACAGUUACGAUAGUACUGUUCGUGAUCACGAUGGUUUUCGGCUCAGCACUGAACCUUCGGCAUCCACGACGGAGGCUUCGUUUGGCGUGAGCUCCGAUGUUGUGACAGUGGUAAGCAAUCCCGGACAGCAGGCUCAUCGCCGGCAUCCCAAGAAGUGCAGGUUCAAAGGGUGCUCCAAGGGCGCGCGGGGUGCGUCGGGCCUGUGCAUCGCCCAUGGCGGCGGGCAGAGGUGCCAGAAGCCCGGGUGUCACAAGGGCGCCGAGAGCCGCACAGCCUACUGCAAGGCCCACGGCGGCGGACGCCGGUGCCUGCAGCUCGGCUGCACCAAGAGCGCUGAAGGGAAGACGGAUCACUGCAUCGCCCAUGGCGGCGGUCGCCGGUGCGGCUACGCUGGCUGUCCUAAAGCCGCGCGUGGCAAGUCCGGGCGGUGCAUCAAGCACGGCGGCGGGAAGCGGUGCUCGGUGGAGGGAUGCAUCAGGAGCGCCGAGGGGCGGGUCGGGCUGUGCAUCUCCCACGGCGGCGGCCGGCGUUGCCAGUACCCGGACUGCCGCAAGGGCGCGCAGGGCAGCACGCUCUACUGCAAGGCGCACGGCGGUGGAAAGCGGUGCGUCUUCGAGGGGUGCGCCAAGGGCGCCGAGGGCAGCACGCCGCUGUGCAAGGCACACGGCGGCGGGAAGCGGUGCAUGUACGAGGGCGGCGGCGUGUGCCCGAAGAGCGUCCACGGCGGCACGGAGUUCUGCGUGGCGCACGGCGGCGGGAAGCGGUGCGCCGUGCCCGGGUGCGGCAAAAGCGCGCGCGGGCGCACGGACCGGUGCGUCAAGCACGGUGGCGGCAAGCGGUGCCGGGUGGACGGGUGCGGCAAGAGCGCCCAGGGCAGCACCGAGUACUGCAAGGCCCACGGCGGCGGGAAGCGGUGCGUCUUCGGCGGCGGCUGCGAGAAGUUCGCGCGCGGCCGGAGCGGCCUCUGCGCGGCUCACGGCACGCUGGUGGCCUCGCAGCAGCACCGAUGCGGCGGCGCGGGCGCGGGCAUGAUCGGGCCGGGCCUCUUCCACGGCAUCGUCCGGUCCGCCAGCGCCGCCAACAUGAACAACAACGAGUACUCGUCGUCCGGGGUGAGCACUGUGUCGGACUGCGGCGACGGCUCGCCCGUGCUGGCGGCGGGGAGGCUGGAGCUGAUCCCUCCCCAGGUGCUGGUCCCCCACUCUAUGAAGUCCUUGACGCCAGCCGCGCCGGCACCGGAGAGGAGCCGAGAGGGAGGGGUGGUCGCCGUCCCCGAGGGGAGGGUGCACGGCGGCGGCCUCCUGUCGUUGCUUGGCGGGAGCUUCCGGAACGUCGACGUCGACAGGCUCUGAAGCAGGCAACGCUCUUGAGGCUCGAUUUCUCUUCUUCUACAGCUCUUUUUCUUCAAAAAACAAAGAGGAAAAAACUACUAGUAUUUCUUUUUUAUCGUAGCUGUUAGAUUGGCUGUCUAUAAAACAUGCUCUUGUAUGCAAAUCGAACUUAUAUGGCGAACUUAGGUUAGUUUUGGUCCCCUUGUGUCAUAAAAGGCUAAGACAUGGAUGUGUCGGGGGCUGUUACAUACAUGUCGAGUUAUUCGUGGCAGGUCCCAAAGCUUUUGGGAUUGGAAAGCUUUGUAGCUGCAGUUGUUGUGAAUAAGAUCAAUGGGUAAUGAUCAACCAUCAAAUUGUACUUCUUGCAACACUCUGCUGAAAUAUCAGCUGACGAUCGAACUGUACCUCUUGAUGCAGAUGAUUGUGUGAUGUGAAAUAGGCUUUUAUGGGUUUGUGGCAUUUGAAGUUGGUCUAGUGAUUGUUUACCAAAAGUUUGACUCUUUGCAAUGUUUUUGCUUGACUCUGUCCGAGUUUCUAGUGGUAGCAGGGCCAUUAGCAUCACCGUCAUGAAGAGGAACAUGUAAUCUUGAUUCCUGAGAACCUCACUGGACACCGAUGGAAGAUGGACAUAUAUUUGUUGAAAUGGACUUUAUAGUUCAAAAGCAUACAAAAUCAUAAAAUGGCAUAGUGUCAUACAUACACCAGGUAUACUCAAGGGCCAUGGCUCUGGAAGAGUUAAUUUUUUUAGAUAGAAGAAUAAAAGUAUCCCAUCCAUUCAUUAUUACAACUUUGAUUCAAAUGGGAAGCACAAAGUGAGACAAAUCUACCUUGACAUGACAAAACUUUAAGCGCAUAUCCUGUCACUAAGCCGCUAUCAAGCAAAGAUGUUCACCACCGUGGUGAGUUCCAAUUUUUGGCAAAGAUGUUUACCACCGUGACUUCCAAUGUUUGGCACGCGCGUGGCCAAGUGAUGGCGUUCCUACGAAAAGGUCCGAAAGCUUGGCAAGAGUUCAUUUCAGCUCAAGUACAAAAUUCUCUUCCGGCUCCUUUUCGAAGACAGGCUAAACACAAGAGAACUUCUUAGAAGGGAAAAUAUGAAACUUCAGAGCUAUAAUAGUGUUUAUGUCCAAACAAUGAGGUUGAAUCUCUGCAACAUCUUUUUUCUCCGAUGCCCUUUCUCAUAAGAACUUUUGAAGAGUAAAACACACCGGCAGUCCCUGAACUUGUCUUGUGGUGUCAUCCGAGUCCCUAAACUCUCAAAAUGCAUUUUCAGGUCCCCAAACUUAUCUCAAGGUGUCAUCUGGGUCCCUAAACUCUCAAAGUGCAUAUUUAGGCCCUCCAAACUUGUCCUCAGGUUUCAUCCGAGUCCCUAAAUUCUCAAAAAUAUUUUCAAAUCUUAAAACUUGUCACCUAUCGCUGAUGGCAAUGCUUCCUCCUCGCUCGUUGCCUUCAUAACCACCUUAUGCUAGUGAUUAUGCAUGUAUUGCUUGGCACUUGAUUGGGGAUCUUAAAAUGCACUUUGAGAGUCUAAGGACUUGGAUGUUACCCUGAUACAAGUUGGGGGGGGACCGAAAAUGUGUUUUGAGAGUUUAGGAACUCGGAUGGCAUCUUGAGCCAAUUUUAUGAAUCUAAAAAUGCACUUUGAGAGUUUAGGAACCUAGAUGACACCCAAUAAUAAGUUUAUGGAGCACCUGUGUAUUUUACUCACGUUUGAACCUGCUGAAUUUGCACAUUGCGCCUAAUCUUUCUCUAUAUCAGAUUUUGGAAACUUUUAAGCAGCAGCUUUUGAAGCAUUUCUUUCUGGAAAUCAUAAUUAUUGUGUCCUGAGUAUCUGGACAACAAGAAUUGGUAUUGUCUUCAAACAACGAGUGUAUGUGGAAUCAUGUAAAGCCUCCUUUAAGCAUGAAUUUGCUAUAUCCAUAGGCUAGAGAAGUACUUCCGGGGCAGCAUAGAAUGGCUAGAUACAUUUCCAUAGUUCCUCGUUGUUUUCUUUGCAGUUUUGCUUCUGCUUCUAUAAACACUUUUUGUUAAUAUAUACUCCCUCCAUCCUAAAUUUUGACUUUUCUAAGUACAUAAAUUUUGAUAUGCACAUAGAAUAGAUAUAUAGGUAUAUCUCUAUACAUGCAAAAGUUUUGUAUUUAAAAAGGAAAAAAAUCUGGAGAAACCCACAGGGGGUGCAUUAUGCAGAUCAGAGGGCUUGCUUCAUUUGUCUCUACAUGUAACUGACCGUCUGACAGUGCCGUGGUUGAGUCGUUCUUAGGACUUUUUUCCGUGUGUCCCAUGACACCUUUUUGCGUAAAUUACACACUAGAGGUAUGGCAUGCUCCAUACAGUGGGUAGCAAUGUAGCAUAUACUCGUUUCGGCACGAUCCGUCCGGACACCUUCACUGAAAAGCAGGGGCGGAAUUAGGAUGAACACCUUAAGAGGGCUAAAUAGUAGAGAUUAAAGGCUAGAGUUAGAAAUUAAUGAUGAUUUGAGGCUUUAUCUAGGGCAGCACGGCUGCACGCACAAGUUUCCGAAGCUGAUGAUGAUCCGGCAGAUCACAGAACCACCGAGCCAUCCAGUAGCGCCGCAUGCAAGUAGCGCUGGCAGCCGCUUCCCAUCCAUCCAGAAGCCGGAUGUGUAUGCGCCAGGCCGGAGCUAGCACUAGUAGCAGGCGGCGAACGGAAACGCGCAACACGAUGCAGAUCGCUGGACGCGCAGUGGCUUUCUGACGCAGCUCUGUCCUCCUCCGGCUGAGAAUAGCAGUAGCUAGGGGGGUCACAAACCAAUGCAAGGACGCGAUCGGCCACUUCAAUUCUUAGCCGUCUUUGCAAGUAGCAGUGUCGUGGCGAACCCAUCCCCUCCUUCGGCUCUGCGCUUCCAAGGCGACAGCUGAGUAGCUGACCUGCGAGAUGGCAAGAGGUGCUCUGCCUCUGCUCCGGCUGCCUGUUCUUCUUGCCCUGUGCCUUGCCGUGGCAGCGUGCUUCUGCGGCGGAGGAAAUGCGGCGGCGGCUGAGAGGAAGACGGUUGGCGUGCACGAGCUCAAGAGGGGCGACGACUUCUCCAUCAAGGUCACCAACUGGGGUGCCACUCUCAUGUCCGUCGUCCUCCCCGACUCCAAGGGUAAUAACUCUGCUCUUCCAUGCUCUGUACAGUCUUCUUUGUGGAGCCGGGGCUACGGAAGACAUGCAUUCUGAUUUUCGCGUUGCAGGGAACCUGGACGACGUUGUGCUCGGCUACGACACCGUCGCUGAAUAUGUGGUAAGAAGAGAUCAUCUCGAUCAUAGGAUCCGGCUCCAAAAUUGUUCACUUGGCUGUCUUUGUCUCCGAACAUGCAGAACGGCACCGCCUACUUCGGGGGUCUGAUCGGCCGCGUGGCCAACAGGGUCGCCGGCGCCCGGUUCACUCUGGACGGGAAGGCCUACCGGCUGUACCCCAACGACGGCAACAACUCGCUCCACGGUGAGAGACUGCCGGCCGAGACCGAGACUCUGCUGAUGGAUUGUUGCUCCGAGCUGCUGUGUGAUUGUUAGUUCGUUCACUUCUUUUUUUUCUAAAAAAAACUGAGCGUUCGUUCCUGUUCUUGUUCUUGGGAUCGGACCAGGUGGUCACCGGGGAUUCAGCAAGGUCAUAUGGACGGUGAUGGAGCACGUCGGCGGCGGCGACUCCCCCUACAUCACUCUCUACUACCAUAGCUUCGAUGGGGAGCAAGGUACAGUGUGUUCGUUCCUUUUCGUUAUUUGGAACAUUGUGCAUCUGUUCGUGGGAGCGCAUUUACUCUAGCUGUGUGGAUCAGUGGAAUUGUUCGUUUAGAAUGUCUGCAACUAGAGCAUCGGAGAUAUUAAGGUUAGGUCGAACAGUUAACAGUACCUCCUUUAAAAAAGGGGAAGCUGAAGCUCUUCAGCUUCUGUGUUUUAGUAAAAUAGGAGCGGUAGGGAGAAGCGUCAAGCGUGGUCAGGAGAAGCUUAAAAAAAGCAGGCUGUUUGACUUCCAAUUUCAGCUUAUUUUAGUCUUAAGUAAGAUUUAAUUUGUUCCAAACAGAGCCGUGAUGAGAAUUAUUGGAUCAAAUAGGUGAUUGGCCCUAAAAUUCAGAGUGUGUAUUAGGUUUGAAAUAUCCAGUGAGAUGUAGAUGCUCUUUCUUAUGAACAGCUCCUUUUGUAUUGAUGGUAUGGAAUACUUCACCCAGUACAUGAGUGCCGGAGUGAAAAACCUCGUAGUGCAGCCCACAGCAAUAUGUGGUCCACUGUCAUCACAUUGGAAAAGGUGUUUUUCCUGCACACGCAUUUGCGCUUUUCCUCAACCAUACGGUCCAUACUGCAGCAACCUGCAACAGCAGUGUGAGCUAGCCUCAUUCCAGGCGCACUAUAUCCACUAGUGUAGGUGUAGCCAUCAUUGAAACGUUUGUUUUCCCACCCAGCAAUAUAAUGCGUUUGCUCUGGCGGGCUUAGCUAGGUUAAUGCGUUGUCUUUGCGAUGCUGUACGUGAAUGCAGGUUUCCCCGGCGACCUGGACGUGUACGUGACGUACCGGCUCUCGCCCCCGCACGUGCUGAGCGUGCGCAUGAACGCCACGGCGCGGGGCAGUGCCACCCCGGUGAACCUCGCGCACCACGCCUACUGGAACCUCGGCGGCCACGGCAGCGGUCCCGUCCUCGGCGAGACAGUGCAGCUCCUCGCGUCGCGGUACACGCCGGUGGACGCCGCGCUCAUCCCCACGGGCGCGCUGGCGCCCGUCGCCGGCACGCCCUACGACUUCCGCGCGCCGGCACCCGUGGGCGCGCGCCUGGCCGAGCUCUUGCGCGGCGGCGUCGCGGGCUACGACACCAACUACGCCGUGGACGGCGCCGACGAUAGCAGCACGGCGCCGACGUCCCUGCGGCCGGUGGCGCGCGUCCGGGACGGCGCGACGGGGCGGGCGAUGGAGCUGUGGGCGGACCAGCCCGGCGUGCAGUUCUACACCGCCAACGGGCUCGGCGGCGUCAGGGGCAAGGGCGGCAGCGUGUACGAGCGGUACGGCGCUCUGUGCAUGGAGACGCAGGGGUUCCCCGACGCCGUGAACCACCCGGGCUUCCCGUCGCAGAUCGUGAGGCCGGGGCAGGUGUACAAGCAUGACAUGGUGUUCAAGUUCUCCUUCUAGUUGACUAGCUCUCUACAACUAGACGGCAGCUUGAGCAUACAAAUGGUGCAUGCAAGUAUGCAACUCGUCUCUUGUAGUGCUGUCACACAGUGGCGUGUCAUAUAUAGACUUGAACUACAAGUCUGAAGAACACGGGAAAUAAUAGCGUGCUGCAUGUGGAUUCAUUGCAGUACGACAGUACGUUUCAUGUAUGGACGAUACGUGUGUACGUACUCACGGCAACUUUGGACUGCGAAACAUACUCCAUGGCCACUACCGGAGAGGUGAGCUUUAUUACCGACUCUGAACCUUGCGAUACCGUUAUUGUUAUAUUGGUACUAAAAUGAUCCUUUUAGUACCAGAUCAUGCACCCGGUACUAACCUAUUACUAUCGGUUGGUGUUAUCAACCGGUACUAAAUUGUUUUGUGUCAAAAAAAUAAAGAAAAAAUUUGUUAAAUAGCCAGGAGGUCAAGCUAGGAGGACCUUUAGUACUGGGUUAUAACACUACCCGAUACUAAAAUACCUUCGGGGGCUACUAAAUUUGGACCCAGUACUAAUAUUAGCAUUAGUACCGGGCAAAAUAUAACCGGUACUAAGGUUAUUUUUCUAGCCAUGUGGUCAUAAUAUUUCAAUUUGUGUCGUUGCAUUCGGAAAAGUUCAUUGCUAGGACUACCUGUAGUGUUACGGAGAGCUUGCUUGGUUGCUCGUACUGAUGGCCUAGGACAUACAUGGACAGAGCUAGGCCAAUUUUAUGAAAUGCUAUAAAUAAUAAUCCAGUGUGGUGGGGCCACACAUGCUGGAUCAAAGCAAUACUACUUAUAUCAGCGUACACAUAGAGAAGCCUUAAGUGGCGGACCCAGGAUUUUUUUAGCCUGAGUGAACAGAGCAACCCAUAAUAACAUUCUCAUUUGAGAAUGCGAAUACAAGGAGGUAUUUUGUGUUUGGGAAAGUCCGAAGAAAAAAGGAUUUGGAAUCCACCUUUUCUUUUGCUUUUUUCCCUUAGAAAAAUAACUCAAUCAAAAUCCAAUUAUCUACUCUACAAGAACGAAAUGCUUGUUAUGCCUAAUAUACUUAGUUUAACAUGUAUCUGUUUUAAUUCUGUUCUUUGUCCGACUAGCUUUUUCUUCGCCAAAUUACCCGAAGCUUAUGCCAUUUUCAACCCAAUCGUGGAUGUUUUGCCUGUCCUCUUUUUUCUAUUAGCGUUUGUUUGGCAAGCCGCCGUAAGUUUUCGAUGAAAUCUUUACUAUUCCGUCUGCCAAAUUGAAUUGAAUGAUGUAUUCAUUCCAAAAAAAUUUAAAAAAAUGGAAAUGGAUAAGAGCCGAGAAGUCUUAUAUUAUGAACCUUCGAUUCUAAAAUUUAAAUUCUUCUACAUUGAAUGUAUAGCUGCAGCAAUAAAUUGGGAUCCGCCUUUCUACCCCCCGCACCUACGUUGAGCAGGUACCUUUAGGUACCCACACAAUACCUAAACUAAUUUUUGAUAUUGAUAAGAGUGCUUAUUAUAAAGCAAUUCUUGCAAUUUUUUUAAGAAUUGAUUUUUGCAUUUUUAGGUGUCAAAAUAAACAAAACCCAUCCUAGUGGAUCUGUGUAGUAAGGAAAAAUGGGUAAUCUAUUCCUUAACAAAAAAAUCUUGGAGAUUAUGUAAUGCUUACUCUCAAACUUUUUGUUUAUACAGUAGUGAUAUUCUUUGUUUCCCUCUUUAUCUUUGGAUUCUUAUCUAAUGACCCAGGACGUAAUCCUAGGCGUGAAGAGUAAAAAUCCAAAAUUUGUGGGAAUUUUUUCUUACAAAUUGGAUUUAUUUCGUACAUUUAUCGAUGAGAAAAUCCAGGGGUCAGAAUUCCUUACAAUUUGAAAGUCCCAAAUGAUCCGAGGGGGCGGAAAGAGAGGGAUUCGAACCCUCGGUACAAAAAAAUUGUACAACGGAUUAGCAAUCCGCCGCUUUAGUCCACUCAGCCAUCUCUCCUCAUUCUAAAUCGAAAGGUUUUGGAGAAGGGGGAAGAAGCACACUUGAAGCACGCAGUACAACGGGAGUUGUAUGCUGCGUUCGGGAAGGAUGAAUCGCUCCUGAAAAGGAGUCUAUUGAUUCUCUCCCAAUUGGUUGGAUCGUAGGGGCGAUGAUUUACUUCACGGGCGAGGUCUCUGGUUCAAGUCCAGGAUGGCCCAGCUACGCCAGGGAAAAGAAUAGAAGAAGCAUCUGACUCUUUCAUGCAUACUCCACUUGGCUCGGGGGGGAUAUAGCUCAGUUGGUAGAGCUCCGCUCUUGCAAUUGGGUCGUUGCGAUUACGGGUUGGCUGUCUAAUUGUCCAGGCGGUAAUGAUAGUAUCUUGUACCUGAACCGGUGGCUCACUUUUUCUAAGUAAUGGGGAAGAGGACUGAAACAUGCCACUGAAAGACUCUACUGAGACAAAAAAAUGGGCUGUCAAAAAGGUAGAGGAGGUAGGAUGGGUAGUUGGUCAGAUCUAGUAUGUAUCGUACAUGGACGAUAGUUGGAGUCGGCGGCUCUCCUAGGCUUCCCUCAUCUGGGAUCCCUGGGGAAGAGGAUCAAGUUGGCACACUUUAAGAAGAUAUUGACCGCUAACAAAAGCAAAGUUGACAACUUUGGUAGUUUUGGAACUAAACAUGUUCACUAUACAUGUGAAUAUAUCAAUAUAAAUACAUUAGGAAAAUAAAGACGCCACAUAAAUUGUCUCAAUACCACACUAAUUCAUUAACACAGUUUGCACCAAAAGUCUAGUACUGUAUGUCCAGAGGAGACACCAUGAAGAAGUAAAUAGGGCACUAAUGAAGAGUGAUGAUCCAAAUGAUCCAUCCAUCUAGUUAUUCGGUAGCGAUCAAGAGCAAAAACCAGCUUAGCUAGGGUUCCGCUUCUUGUCAUCCUGAAAGUGUGAGAUAGUUUGGAAAACACGCAACAAUUUGCACUGAUAGAACGGUGAAGAUAUAUAGUACAAGAGUGGCAACAGAAAGUUGUGGCAUGCAACAGAAGAGGAAGCUAUCCUAGAUAUCUUAGAUUAAAAUCAUGGAGAUACGCUAUAGGAUAGUUGCCUUAGUCAUCGCGAUACAUUAAUUCCAUCUUAAGAUGGGUGCCGAUUAUGCUUGUGGAGGCGCUGAUCUCCUUGUACCGCGUCUGCCAAUGGCUACAUAGUGAUGCCGGCGACAAGAGGUCGCAAUGGCUUCAAGCCUUCAAGCCUGUGCACGUGUUCAUGAUGAUGAGUUCCGGUCGCAGCUAGCAAGCAUGCUCGAGGCCCCGUGCAGGAGGCAAGCUCAAUCUCCUGGCUCGACGUGAUUCAACGUAUUGGACUACAUGUGUUUUAGUUGGCUGUCAAUGGCACGAGUCAUUUCUCCCUUAGGACGCUCAACAAGGAACCUGGAUAGGUGCCUAGGCUCGAUGGACCUUAGGUCUGCCCCUGGAAGCUUGAUGCUUACAUAAGCAAAUACAUAGAAGCUCACACCAGGUGUGUUGCUACAGUUUUGUAAGUGACAUUACCAAAGUGCCUUUGGCCUACUCGGCACUACAAAAGCAGGGCUUGCUUCUUCUUCCUCCUCCUAUAUCUUAGUCGUUCUUCCUCUUUUCCCUAGCCCUCCCCUUAUAUCCACACCUAGAGAAGGAGCCGCAAUCCACCAAAGCUAACAGCUAGAUUUUUAUCCUCUGAGCUAAGGAUCCCUUCGGAGCCUCCACGCAUCGCCCCCAGACCACGUGGGGGUGAACCGUGCAUCGCCUGUUCUCACCGUCGGUGGCCUUGGCAGUCGUCGGUGCGCGGUGGUACUCCCCUACCUCCCUCUCUUCCUUUCCAUCUUCUCUCAUUUCUCCAUCCUCCCCUCUCGCUCCACCACAGCACCACCACCACAUUCCAUGCCAUCAUCAUUGUAGCUCGUCUAGCAUCAGUUCUCCCUUCGUCUAUGCCCUCUGUAAAGUCAAAUAUAUCAUGGGACGUAUGUGCUACAAAGAGAUGAUGCAAAGAAAUUGUAUCAUAGUGUUGCUCUCUAUGAAGUCAAAUAUGUCAUGGGAUAUGGGAAUUUGACAUAUGGCUUGACAUUAUCAGUCAAUUAUGAUUCAUCCAUGUGUUAAUGAGAAAUAGUAAUUGAAUUUCAAUCUCUAACCUAAUAGUUUAUUAGAUAUUAUUAGUUCAUUGCGGUGAUUUUUAUAGAAGCUAUUUCAAGAUGCUAUUUGUGAUGUCUUAUCAAAUUGUUAAUUACUAUUAGGACAAUGAUUAUCCUUUGCAACUAUUAGGGCCAUAUAAGCAAUUAAUUUUCUUCAUAUUCAAAAGAUUAUAAAGCUAUCUAAGCAGUUAUUAGUUGACCAAAAAUAUCAAUAAUUAUGACAUUAAGGAUGGGGGUAUUUUGGAAGGAUUUUGAGUAUGUGAUAGAGAAUGAUAUUGGUGUAUUUGCUAAUGUGUAUCUAUACGUGCACGUGCAUACAUGUGCAGGAAGCUGAUGACAAUAUUUACCAUUUUCAAUAUUUAUUUUUGUUGGUUUGAUACAUGAAUAAAUCUUGUUCUAUACUGUGUUAUAAAAUAUUUCAUUAUUAUGAUUACCUUACAUGAUACUAGGCUAUUAUAUUUAUAUUAUUUUCUACUUUGCAGAUAGAACUUGUUACUAUUAGUGAAAUUGGAACUAUUAUGCUAGAUGGUGUAAUUUUGUGGCACAUGACCAUUUUACAUGGAAUUAGUUAUUUUUUUAGUUGUUUUCUAAUUUUGUAAUAAUUUAGUGUAGCGUGUUUUGAGCGGGGCAAUUUGUUCUUUCUGGAUCUGAACCGUAUAGUCAUGAUGUAGGGUAUGACACCGUAUAAGAAGAAGAAUGUUGAUUCGCAAAGGACUUAAAUGUGAAAGAGCCUUUAUAAAAGUAUUGUCUAUACUUCUCAUAACACUUGUAAGGAAUGUGGAACUCUCGAUAUUGCACUCUGAUGUAAGGUUAAUAAGAGCAACCAAAAAAAAGUAAGGUUAGUGAGAACCGAGGUGGAUAUGUGAAUCAAAAAAAUGAGUCUUGAUUAUUCCAAUAUUCGACAUUAAAUUGAUAGAAUGGUUACAAUUUUUUAGUGCAAUUCCACACAUGUUCUUUAUUACGUCUGGCUAUUUCACAUGUUGAUUUGCGUAGACAAGGUGGAGGUGUAUUGAUACAUUUUAUGGAUUGUCAAAGCUUGAACGAGUCAUUUUGGCCACUACUUGUGUUGCAAAGGGAAAAAAUAAACAUAUUUCGAAAAACAUGUCCACUGCCAGUACACUUGUAGCAUACCAUAGCCCUCUAGAAAUCCAACAUGCCCUGCCAGGCACCAUGUGGUACUGUAAAGGCAAAGACUAGAAUUUUCCUACCAUUCAAAAUAUCUUCUAGAAUUUAUUUGCUUUGCCAUGAAAAGAAGAUUUUAUCCCAUGCGUAGGAAAGGUUUAUUAUCCCGAUAGACUACUAAAAUAUUCAAAAUAUACAUUGCGUAUUCCAACAUGAUAUGUAUGUGUUUCUUUUUAUACAUAUAAAAUAAAAUCACUAUACUCCAAUAGAUGUAUAAAUAGAAUUGUGAUUAUUUUCAUGUCUUCUAUUGUUAAAUUAUUCAUGUGUAAAAUACAUAUGAAUUAUUUUCAUGUCCUUAUUGCUUCCGCUUUUAAAGUUAGUAGGGGUAUGAAGUUAGAAAGGUUAUUGAUAGCUUGUAAGAAUGGAUUAUUUAAUUUGGAAAACAUUACAUGAACUCAUAAAAUAAGUAUUUUAUACACAUAGAAUAAGUUAUAUAAAGUCAAGGAACAAAAUUUGUGCACUUGGAACAAAUACAUUGUGGAUAUACAAAAAAUGUGGUAGUCCAUGAAAAAAGUAAAUGAAUAAAUUUAACUAUAGUAAGGAAUGAAAGAAUGAAAACUAAAUAAAAAUAUGAUAAGAGAAUUAGAUAGAUGAAGAAUGGAUAAAAACUGGAAGAAGAAAUAAAAGAAUAAAAGAAAAAAUAAAUAGGGAAUAAGGGAAAACGAGAAGAAAAUAUGAAAAAUAAAUAUCAAAUAUCAGUGUCUUUAUAGCACUUGCGCACUUAGUUCAUAGAAAAACAGAAAAUAAGAAGGAAAACUUGAAGAAAACAAAAACAAUAGUGUGUUUAUAGCACUCGCACACUUAGUUCAUAGAAAAAUAUAAAAUAAGGGAAGAAUCAAGAAUAAAAAAGAAAAGAAAAAGAAUAAAUGUGGAACUCUUGAUAUUUCACUUUCUCUUUUGUAUUUACAUCCCUCUCUAAUGCAGACUCUUCCAACUAUAACAAUCAUCUGUAGCCCUUCUAUAUUCUGACGAGAGAACAAUCACUCAUCUAUGUGGAGAACAAGGAGACGACAAUUCACAUGAUGAUCGAAUCACCCAAACCUCAUCUUCACAUGCUAAAAGAUGAACAAAUAAGACACAUCUCUGUUGCUUUUUACUGAUUGCAUUGUUCAUGUCACAAAAAUAAAGCGACGAAUGAACAGAGAUGUUUCUUAAUUUUCAAACACUCCCAACUCACUAUAUCCUAAUCAUCAACUCUAGUUUGUUAUGUCGCCACAAGCCUGAAGCUCAACCUUGCUUUGUCGGUGAAGCUCGCCUACUCAGGGGCAUAAACCUUACUAAAUCCUUGCAUACGAACGAGCCUUGCUUGAGCGUGUUCUCUUUUUUUUUUGAAACGUAAAUGGCAGGAGCUCUGCCGCAUCUUAUAAGAAGAACAGAAGUUUUAGUACAAAUUUCAUGCCUUGUUAUAUGAUUGACAAAUUACGGCUCAUCACUUUUAACAUGAGUUGAUACAACAUUUGCGUUAUUCGAUCAUAGGAGCUCCACAUGCCGCUUGGCGCAGACCAAUCUCAUCUUUGAUGAGGUAGAAUACUUGCAACGCAGAGCAUUGUUUCCCCUCGAAUAUUCUUCUGUUACUCUCUUUCCAAAGAUUCCAUGUGGUGUAGAUGAUCACCGCAGCAUUCAGCGUUUCUUUUCCUUGGCAACAGCAGCAAUGGACAUACACCACCAGUCCUACAAUUCCAUAUCGCUUUGUGGAAUCUGGACAAGUUCACUGGCCCAGUUAGCGACUUUGCUCCAUACUUGUAGUGAGAAUGUGCACCUGAUACACAUGUGUACUGCUGAUUCAGCAUCAGUCUGGCAUAGUGGACAUAUAGGAUUACAUGGCCAAUUCCUAGCUUGAAGUCUGUCAGCCGUCAACAAUCUGUUUUGCAUGAGCAACCAAGUGAAGAACCUAUGUUUACCCUUUGUGCCUUCCAGAUUGCUUGCGGCUGGAAUUGGCAGUAAGAUCCUGCAAACUAGGCGAGGUAUGCACUCUUUGCAGUGUAUUGGCCGUCAGCCGACCAUCUCCAUACAAUUUUGUCAGGCAUGUCAGUAAGGACCACGUCCUUGACAAGAUCCCAGAGCUCGAUGAAUUCAGCCAUUUCAUUUACAGAUUGCAUUCUCCAUAGGCCCCUAGUCCAACUAUGAUCCUGAAGCUCCUCGUGCACUGAUCUGUUUUUACGCCAUGCCAACUUGUACAUAUUUGGUGCUAUAUCCCUAGGGGCUUUGCCAUUAAGCCAAGAAGAGUUCCAAAAUUAUGUUGUUUGUCCAUUCCCCACCGUAACUAAGGUACUAGCUCUGAACAAUUGCAAGUCAAUGUCUGUCACCGGUGCUUCCCCUCCCGUGCAAGUUCUAUCUCGCUCCUUCCAUUCAAACCACACCCAUCACAGCCUUAAUGCUCUGCUGAAGUUCUCCAAGUUUAAGGCCCCCAGGCCACCCAUCUUCUUUGGCUUUAGCACAUUAGGCCAUGCAACUAGACAGUGCCCCCUAUUUACUAUUUCAGCCCCUUUCCAUAGGAAAGCUCUUCUUAUCUUGUCAAUUUUCUUAAUUGUCCAGGAUUUUAGGUUGAAAACUGUGAGGAAGUAUGUUGGUAUGGCUGACAAAACUGUGUUAAAAAAUAUUAGGCGUCCAACCCUGUUAUGUAAUCUUCCCUUCCAUGAGGGUAAUCUAGCAGCAACUCUAUCAAUUAGUGGUUGUAUAUCAACCCUCCUUAGUGCUCUCGUGUGAAGAGGUAACCCAAGAUAUGAGCAAGGAAAAGACUUCACUGGAUAGUGAAAAUUAGGCAAGAUGUGCUCAAGGUUGAUCCCAUCACACUGGAUUGGGUAGAUGGCACUUUUGCUGAGAUUUUUGAUCAGCCCUAAAGCCAAGCCAAAGUCAUUUAGAACCUCCCUGACAACUGCAAUCUCUUCACUGUUUGGUUUUAGAAAAAGGGCAACGUCGUCUGCAUAUAUGCUGAGCCUUGUUCUAGUUAUUCUAUGCUGGAUUGGGGAUAACAUUCCUUGGGCCUCUGCAAUCUGGAACAUUCUGUUCACUGGUUCCAUAACCAGUAUAAAAAGUAUUGGACUAAGAGGAUCUCCUUGUCGUAAACCAACUCUAUGCCUGAACCAUUUGCCCCCUAGCUCCAUUCAGGAGGACUGAAGUGGAUGCAGAUGAUAGUAAUGUAGUGAUCCAUUCCUUCCAUCUAUUGCCAAAUUCCAUCUCCUGCAGAACCUCCAUAAUGUAGUCCCAUCUUACACUAUCAAACGCCUUCCUGAUGUCCAAUUUAAGGAACAGUGUAGGUUUCUUUGCUCAGUGCAAACAUUUCACCAGGUUCUAUGUAUAUAGAAAAUUAUCCUGAAUGCUUCGACGUUUGAUGAAGGCACUUUAUGAUCUUGACACCAAGUACUACAGAUGUGGUUGUAGCCUAUUAGCAAGCAAUUUGGAAAUUAUUUUUGCAACAUUAUGUGUCAAACUUAUUGGCCUGAAUUGGUUCAAGCUCUUUACUGCUGGUGUUUUCGGUAUGAGGACAAUAUGUGCCUUAUUUAACUGAUGGAAAUGCUGCCCAUGCUGCUGAUAAAAAUAGAGGAUAACUGCCAUUAUGUCAUGCUUGAUCCAUUCCCAAGCAGAUUUGAAGAACAAGCCGAUAUAUCCAUCUAGGCCGGGGGCCUUUUUUGAUGCCAUGCUAGAAAUCACUUCCCAAACUUCUUCCAUAGUGAAUACAUGUUCCAAGUCAUUCUGCUACAGCUUGGUCAAUUGUAGUACAUCCCAAUCCAUAGUAUGUGUUCUUUGCUGAACUUGUUCAAAUUGAGUACUGAAGUGCUGGAAUAUCUGAUCUGCUUUCUCUUCAUGUAGGUGUAUUUGCCUUCCCUCAACUUCCAAGGCUUGUAUGAAGUUUUUUCCUCCUUCUACCAUUGAGAUGAAUAUGGAAUAGUUUUGCUUGAGCUUCUGCAGCUUUUAUGUGAGCUAUCCUGGAUUGCUGCUUCACCCUCAAUUUUUCUAUUGCAGUCAUUCCUAGUAUUUUGGCUUUCAGGUCCCUCUUCAAUAUCACUUCUUGAUCAGACAGCUGCCUAAAUUCUUGCACCACAUCAAAGAUAAGGAUAAGCUGUUUGGCUAGACACAGAAGUAGCCUAUUGUUUCCCACCUUAGUUCUUGCCCAUUUCUUAAGUGCUUUCCCUAAUCUCUCUAAGUUGGUAUGCAAUCUCAAGAAUGGGUUUUGUAUUUGAAUAUCUCUAUUCCAUGUCUCAAUGACAAUUUCUUUGUAUCCAUUAAGCUUAGGCUAGAAACUCUCAAAUCUUAGGCCUCUAUACCAUUUCCAGUCUGAGUGUCCAGUUAAUAGCAAAGGGGAGUGAUCAGAGACAGAUGAAGAAGUAGCUUGCAGCACACAGCUGGGCAUCAUGAGGUCCCACUCAAUGGUGCAAAAGGCUCUAUCUAUUCUUGUGUGGGUGGUGUUAUUAGACCAAGUAAACUUUCUCCCUCUCAGCCUCAAUUCUUUCAGUUCAAGGUCAUUUACAAGUUUCCUGAACUCCCCCAUCAGUCUUCUAUUUAGGUUACCAUUGCUAUUAUCUUCUACUGUCAGAAUCAUAUUAAAAUCUUCCAGCAGUAACCACUUGUUUGUUAUGCCUUGCUUAAUUUGUCUGAUCUCUUGUAUGAACUGUAUUUUAUCACUAUCACCUUAUGGUCCAUAGACCACAGUGAUCCACUAGCUCUAUAAAGAUGAUGUGGCUUCAAUCAGUGCUAACACAGUGUAGGUUCCAAUAUUUGAAUCAAUGAUUUUGUAGUAGUCUUGGUGGACUGCUAGAAGGACCCCUCCUCUGGUUUGCUGAGCAGGCAAAUGUACAUAGUUGUGUAGAAACUGUUGCCCUAGGGUCUCAACAAUAAUGCUUGUGUCAAUGUUCAGGACCCGUCCUCUGGUUUGCUGAGCAGGCAAGUGUACCUAGUUGUGUAGAAACUGUUGCCCUAGGGUCUCAGCAAUAAUGCUUGUGUCAAUGUUCUAAAUUUUUGUUUCUUAGAGGCAUGCAAUAGUGCAUCUAGUAUCCUGGGCCAAGUCCUUCACCACUCCUCUUCUCACAGGGUUACUUGGUCCCCUCACAUUCCAAUUUAGCACAGUACAACGUUGACUACUCAUAUUGAGACAGAUACAACUCCAACUAGACCUUGCUUGGGAGACAGACCCAAGCACACAGCAAGCUACCAUAAUGGAGAACCACUAAUACACACCGAGCAUACACAAGUUACCAUCUAGUACACAAGGAACACAAAUGAUAGAUACUACCAUACACUGAGAAGGGGGGUGGGGAGCUGCACUAGUGUAAACACAAACACCAAACACAGGGUACUUAGUACAAAGCAACCUAGACCAUAGGCCACUGACCCACAUAGACAUUAACACAAUCCUCCCCACUUCAACCUUCUUGCUCUGUUCAGUCUUCAGCAUGGAGAGCAAUGGUAACCAGAUCAUUUGCAAGACCAAAAGCCUCCCUGAGGUUCCCAACUGUUUCCUGUUCAAGUGAUUCAGUAAACUGUGUGCUGAAUUUGGUAUGUGUCGGGGAGUCAGGAAGCUUGUUUACUUGCAGCAGACCACACUUCUUCAUCAGCAAAGCUGUUGCUUGUUCUUCCAUGGUCAUGUCAUUUUUCCCCUUGCUUGCAAUUCUAGCACUUUUCCUUGAGGACGGUGUCCUGUUGUUGAGGUUAUUGGGUUUGAGUGUUCUAUCUGCUGUUGCUGUCUUCACUUUGGGGUAUGCAUUAGACAGUAGCAGAACUGGUGGCUGUAGCUGUUUUGUAAAUGCAGAAUUCUUUUGCCUCUUUUGGGCAACACCUGAUUGCAAUGACUGUAAGUCUGCAUCCUGAUGAGCUUGAUCAACUGGUGUGUUCUGCUGACGCUUCGAUGGCCCUUGUGCUACUAUCUGUUCCGGCGGGGGCACCAGCUGUGCAUUCCCUAUAGGCUGCCCGACAAUAGCGUGGAUAUCCUUGGUGUUGACCCCCGGAUUGUCCAGCCCAUUUCUUUGUGUCUGUGGUUGCUCUCCUGGAGUUAGAUCAACAUCCUUACAAUAAGGCGUGCCAUUCUGAUCAGCUUCCCUUCCUGCAUCUUCCAAUGGUGAAUAUGUUGACCUUUGCAUUAUUAACUCCUACACUGCCAUAUCCCUUAGAAGCUCCCUUUCCACGCAGCACAUAACUUCGCUCGUGUCUGCCUCAUCAUUCUGCAUAUGCAUCUGCACUUUGCUCGUCUGAUCUCCAGGGUGUAUCACUUGAAACUCAGUCCUCAACCUUUCCUGCUAAUUUGCUACACAUUCCUCAGGCCGGUGCACUAUUUCUCUACCGACAAAUGCUGGAUCAGAGUUUUCCUCCGCAGAACACACAUCCACAACGGUGAAUGGCACAACGAUUGUUCUUGUUUUAAUUUUCGGCUCAGUAGAGUGGCGUCCCAGGUAACAGGGCGGGGGUUUUGAAAAGUCCUGCACCGUUUGUUGUGCUUGGAUGCACAUCGGGUCUGCUUGCAUAUCUCUGUUGGCAAUCCUUUGUACAGCUGCAUACUCCAUCUCAGGGAAAGCAACAAUUGAUUUUCUUGGCUGCCCAUCUCCUGACCCCUGCCAGCCCUACUUCAGUAGCUGCUGCGUGCACAGUAGCACUUCGUCUUGCAUUGGGUCAGCUGCCUGCCUCUCAGCCACUGUGCCACCAUAGAAGCCCCUAUCAAUAGCAGCAGCAGGAAAAGGCAACAGUGCUUCCUUCCCAUCAGCAUUGAAUAGUGCUGGAGUAGUAGCAGCAGCUGCUCCAUGCUGUGGGGCCCUCGCACGCCUCUCCCUCCACUGUAGCUGAACCGGUGCAUGUCUUCUUCGUCGGUAGCCUCCAGCCAGACUACGUCGUUGACCGUUUCCCCCGCCACCUAGCACGUCCCUCCACGUCGCCUGCGGGAACUGACGGAACGGGCGACCGCCUCUCCUACUGCCCUCAGCACCUCCAUCAGCCGGCGGUGAACGGUCCCGGUGGCCUCCAAGGCGGUCACACACCGGAACACGCCCACCAUGAAUCGGCAACCGCUCCCCAUCUGGAACACCGGGGAUCCAUGAGAAGAAAUGGCGCAUCAGCCAUUCCUCCUCCAGGUCGUCGUCGGGGAUGCCACUAAUUGCACUCUCGUAACUGGCAUGAGACGGACUGCCCUGGAAAGGGGCAUAGUCCAGCACGCGCUCCAGAUGAAUCAGCACCUCGUAGUCCAGUGUGCGCGCAGCUUCAUGGCGAAGAAUUGGCAGCCCCGUGGGUCCGGUUCUUGCAUAAGGCUCUUCAAUCUUCAGAAUGGCUUUCUUGGGCAAUGCAUUAGGAUCUGCCAUCCAGACCCAGAGAUUGAAGCAAGAGCUCUCAACCUCCUUGAACACUUCAUAGUCCACAUCAUUAAUGAAAGAAGGUGGACAGAAAAGCUGUGUUACCGAAUCCACAUUCCAAGCAUGACUCAGAACACCUUCCAAGCACACUCUCGCAUGGUACCGAACUGAUCCAACAGUGUCACGCACCCGGUGGCUCCACGACAUCAGUCAGAGCUCGGUGCUACCUGCCAGGAUGAUGUGCAUGGCGAGAAUGGAAUUCCUCAGCUCCGGUGACCCGAAGCCAAGAAUGAAGGUUGCCGAGCCCAGAGCUUGCACCUCCAAUGCGCAGUCCGGGAUGUGAAGUUGCUGACGAACAUCCCGGGCCACCUGACUUGCUCCGAGGGGGACCCGUGCAUCAAUCUGCACACCGACGACAGCGUGCAGCUCGCGCUGGCUCUCGGCGUACCUGAUCUCCUGCGUGCGGGCCGCGCAAGCGACCACCAGCUGAGGACGAUGCUCCGGCGCGCCCAAAACGAACUCUGGGAAGUCCAUCUUCUUCUUGUCCGGCACCCUCUGCACGUGCUCCUUCCUUUUUUUCCUACUCUCCUCCCUCCUCGUGUUGUAGUACCGCUCCUUGUGACCAAACCGUAGUCACAACAAGCACUUGGCGGAGGGGGGGGGUCACGGCACUGCGCAAUCUGGUGGUUGGAGGCGAAGCAAUUGAAGCAGUGCCUCCCGGCUUUGGCCUUCAGCAGAGCUAAGAGGUUUCCCUCAGAUGUGUCAACUUGAAGGCGAUCCCACACCCCACCAGCUCUUGUCCUGCCCUCCUGAGUGCAUUUACUCUCACUUCCUAACUUGGACCAUACUAAUUUCCUGCUCCUGGUGUCCUUGCGCGGCAGGACAUCGUGCCAUUGAUGGCCUUUAGCUGCCGUGUUGCAGAGGCUGCGUGGCUUGUGAGCUUGGGUCUUCAGUAGUGCUUCCUUGUAGGACACGCGGUGCCUUGCCGGUUUAACUACAACAGAGCUUAGCGGAGCGCGUCGCACGACAUUGGCGUCGUGCUCCCUCUCAGUGUCAUCUCGCUUCAAUGGUAACGGGGAAACCUCAGGCCUCUUCGGUGAUGUGUCCCCAAACUCUGGGGAAGAGAAAAGAAGCAGGUCGAGCUCCUCCUCCUGGUUUGCGUGGGAAAGGUUGGUUGGUGGUGUGGCUGGUGAGCUGGGUUCGCGGGUGGUAGGAAGGUUUGCCGCCGGCGAGGAUGCCGUCGCCGGUGGGGUGGCGGAGGCAGGUGGUUGCGGGGAAGGGAACACCUCAGUGUCUCAUUUUGUCUGUGACUUUGAUUUGAUUUUCUCCGCUUGAGCAUGUUCUCACCUUCGAUUCUCUUGCCGAUCACAAAUACCCUAGUAAUCUAGGACUACCAGCUGAAAUUGCUAACAAUUAAUAUUAGAGAUCCAUGAAACAUGAGCAAUAAAAUUAGUUGACCAUCUAGCUUCUAGUGUGUUUACAAUCUUUGUACAUGUAAACAUUUGUCAAUGAUACAUGUUGGAAAAAAUUGAAAAUGCUAUGUACAUACCACAAUUUGAUAGCAUUUGAUGACCAGGCAACUAAAUUUAAUUCCGAAUACAUACAAUUAAGUUUAGUGGCCACAAUUUACACUUUUCAGAGUAUGAUAGCAAAACUGAAACAGUACAAUGGCUAUUCAUGUAUUUUACUCAAAUCUUACCACCUAGCAGAUAUGGCUUCAGGCGUGUGUAUGCACCUCUGCAGCCGGCCACAACGUACACGUUCCCAAAAAGAAAACUCCUUUUGAAACUCUUGCACACUGAACAUGCACACGCUUACAUAAAUUUUGAUACCACACAUCCGCCGACGGGGCCGUUGUGCAUCCAUCUUAGGCAACACAGAUUCAGUACAACACGUUGAGUUACAUAUUACAGUACCAAAGCAACAAAGCUAAAAUGGAACAGGAAAGAAACGGGCAACCUUUCCUAACACCAGAGCCAGACCGGAUGGUUUCAAUGGAGAAUUCCUUAAAAAAAACGUGGAACGUCAUUGGUCAGAACUUCUAUAAACUAGUACAAUGCUUCUUUGAUGGGGACUUAUGUUUGCAGAGUAUCAACUCCUCCUUCAUUGCAUUACUUCCGAAAAAGGAAAGCCCUCUAUAUGUUGGAGACUUUAGGCCGAUAUCCUUGCUCAACUCCACCAUCAAAUUACUAACAAAGCUCCUAGCACAGAGGCUGCAACAGGUCAUCAGGUCUCUUAUUCACAAAAAUCAAUAUGGCUUCAUCAAAACAAGGACCAUCCAAGAUUGCCUAGCAUGGGCUUUUAAAUUUUUGCAUAUAUGCAAAAAGUCGAAAAAACAACUAGUCGUCCUCAAGGUGGACUUUGAAAAAGCCUUUGACAAAAUUGAGCACAAAGCCAUACUAGAAAUCUUAAAGCACAAAGGGUUUGGCACCAGAUGGGUUAAGUGGAUCCAACAAAUUUUGUGCUCUGGGACAUCAUCAGUACUUCUGAAUGGGGUACCUGGGAAAGUUUUUCACUGCAAAAGAGGAUAUAGGCAGGGGGAUCCUCUAUCACCUCUACUCUUUGUACUAACGGCAGAUUUAUUACAGUCCAUUCUUAACCACAAGAAAGAGUUGGGGAAUCUGAAGCUACCUAUCGAGGAAGGGGCAGGAACAAACUUCCCAAUAGUUCAAUAUGCUGAUGAUACUCUUCUCUUCAUGGAAGCUUGUCCUAAUCAGUUAAGGGUUCUGAAAGAAGUCUUACACAUUUUUGCUCUGUCAACUGGCCUCAAAGUUAAUUACGCUAAGUCAGUGAUGAUGCCCAUCAAUAUUUCAGAGGCGAGGCUGCAAUUUCUGGCACAGUCUUUUGAGUGUCAACAAGGAUCUCUUCCAUUCACCUACCUUGGCCUACCACUUGGGUCAGUAAAACCAAAAAUUGAACACUUCAUGCCACUCAUUCAAAAAAUGGAAAAAAGGCUAAAAACGAUGUCUAUGUUUCUCAGUCAGGGAGGAAAACUUGAAAUGGUUAAUUCAGUAUUGUCUUCAUCUGCGGUGUUCUUCUGUUCAACUAUCAAACUACACAAGGGAGUCAUAUCUCAGAUAGACAAAUUUAGAAAACACUAUCUUUGGAGGGGGUCUGAUCAAAAUUCUAAGAAACCAUCAAAGGCAGCCUGGCAUAUGGUUUGUCACUCCAAGGAGAAUGGAGGGUUAGGUGUAAUAAACAUAGCUGCACAUAACGAAGUCAUGUUAUUGAAGUUUCUACACAAAUUCUACUCCAAAGAAGAUACACCAUGGGUGACGCUACUAUGGAACAAAUAUUAUUCAAAUGGAAAGCUACCAGGAGGAUAAGUUAGAGGUUCCUUUUGGUGGAAGGACAUAAUUAAACUACAAGACACAUACAAAGGAAUUGCUUCAGUUACAAUAGCAAAUGGUUCAACCGUUUUGUUUUGGAAAGACAUGUGGAAAGGAGCAAUUCCAGGGCAACUCUUCCCAGAACUGCUAUCUUUUGCAAAGGACACAAAUGCAACCCUCAAGGCAGUCAAAGAAAAACAAAGUCUCAUAGAAAACUUCAACACUCCCUUAUCAAUAGAGGCACAUACUCAGUUUUUGACCUUGCAACAAUGGACUUCGGACAUUCAUUUGGUGACACACAAUGAUACCUGGUCCUAUAUCUGGGGGUCACCUUCAUUCUCUACAAAGAGGGCCUACAAAUCAAUCAUGGGAACUAGAAAUGUCCACCAAACAUUCAGGUGGCUGUGGAGAUCAAAAUGUCAGAAAAAACACAAAAUCUUCUUUUGGUUACUGCUUUGGACAGGCUAAACACAAGAGAUAUCCUAAGAAGAAAACAGAUGGCCCUUGAUUCUUACCACUGCGAGCUCUGCAUCAGGCAAAAAAGAGAGACGGUAUAUCACUUAUUUUUCCACUGCAACUUUGCAAAAGCUUGUUGGAGAAGUAUUGGGAUUACAUAUGUACACACAAGGCCGAUCUUGAACAUAAUAGAGCAACUUAAAAGAAAAUUGGGAGUGUCAUUUUUUAUGGAGAUUAUAGUCUUGAUGGCGUGGAGCAUCUGGACAACAAGAAACAACUGGAUGUUUAACAAUAUUAUCCCCUCAGCUUGUCUUGCAAUCGGAAUUUCGCUUCGGAACUUAAAGACCUCCUGCUUAGGAUCAAACCAAGACAUCAACAUCUUUUGGAAGUCUGGAUUCAAUCCCUCUAGGCUUUUUUCCUUUUUAUUGUUUGUCUUUUCGCUUUUGGAAUUUCUCUUCUUUUUCCUUUUUUUUCUAUCUUCAGUUUUAUCCUUCUUUUAUUUUCCUUCUUUUAGGCCUCUCCUUUGUUUUCUUCUUGUUGGAAACUUGCUCCUUCAUUUUUUUGCUUUUUAUAUAUAUAUUUAAUCAGUAGGGGCACCGAACCCCUCCUGUCUUUUUUUUAAAAAAAACACCAGAGCCAGACGCUGCCCGGCAACAUACUAGUAGGUAGGUAGAAGUAGAACACACACCCACACAGAAGGAGCAGUACCCGGCGUCCGACCUCUCGCGAGCCAGGACGAGAGGUCUGCGAGCUACUACUACUUAGACCUCCCUCUAGUUUCCGGCGCCGACCUUGCGACCCGCACCGGCCGGCCGAGCCCUGGCGUUUCUGACGACGACGCCGUCCACAUCGGCCGUCGGGCUAGUGGCCGCGGCGGCGUAGUCCACGGCCGCCAUAUAGGGGCCCGCAGCGCAGCACUCGGGCUUGCCGUCGCAGCAGUCGAUGCGGCAGCACGGGGUCGGCAGGAUCUGGGCCUCGGCCGCGCCCAUCACCAGGAGCGCCAGCACCAGGGCGCCCACGAUGAUCUUGAAGCCCAUCUCCCGUGGCAACACGCACGCCGAGACUUGCCUAGGCUAGCUACUUGGUUGCGACUUCUUUGCAAGACGCGAACCCCGUGAACCGUGUGGUGCGCGAGAGCUAGCGCAGUAGCGCCGCUUCGUUUUGGAUGCGUGCUGCUGGUGUGUGCUCGGCUCCGUUCUUUGGGGCCGCCUAUUUGUAGCCUGAGAGCAGGGGCUGAGCAUGUGCACAGUGCACUGCAGGCCAAAAUGACUGGGGAGCGUGCAUUAACCUGCUUUCCGGAUCCCAGAGAUUUGGUGACCGUCUAUGAAAUCUCUGCUGAUUCAGUAGUGAAUUAGGACACAUCAACGCGUGCCAAGAAUGGCCGAGGGCAACGCAGAAACAGAUCAUCACCCAGGCCAGCAAAAUCGUCAAGCCUGUAAUCCACGAGUUAACAGCUUCUGCAUUGCAUUCCUCUUGGCAAGCAAAAUCUGAAGUUAAGAGUUGCCAUAUCUCUCCUUUUGGCUAGUAACAGCUGAGAUCUACAGCUGCCAGACCUAACUGGUGAUAUCUGAAAUUACGAGUUGCCAUAUACUGAGAAAUUCACUGUCAUCCCGUGAAACUUAGAAUGAUACUAGUAUGUCACAAGAUGCACCAAGUUAGGUAAAGAGUAAAGACCCCAAUAUUGAUUGAGGGUUCGGCUGGAGGAAUCAGCGGGCUGUUGCCAAAACUUUGCUCCAGCAACAAUGUUCACUGCCAGCAACCUGCAUGUUCUUCUGGGCCACGCUUGUUUGUCAGCACAAGCACAGGGUCAACAUUGGCAAGGCUCAGGACGAUUCUUUUCUUUCUGGGAAAUGCGACGAAAAAGAAGCCUAACCGUCUCGCUGGGUAACCCACAUGGGCUUGUCCUGCUCCUUGCAGCAAGGAGCCCUGCAUCUGGCUCUGGUGCACUGCAAGCUUACCGAUCACGAGCAUGGAGAUGGAGAUGGCUAACUGACGUCUGGCUCUUAGGCCGUUCACAUAGAAACAUGCAUGCCUCGCUCACAGUUUCCUGAAACAUGCAUCUGGUGGUACAGGUUGCCAAUAAAAUGUUUGACCAGGAAGUCUUCUGCGUCUGGUGGUACAGAUUGCCAACAAUAUGGCACGGUAAAAGUUUUGACCACGAAGUCCUUUGGCAGAGUUUCAGGAUAUCGUGAUUCAUGAGUUCCAGGAAGACCAAUGACUUGUAGGAGAGUUUACUCAACGAAGGUUGUCCCAAUAUACAAACGAAAUCAUUCACAUGUUACGUAUAUCAAGCGAAAAAGAAGUAUUUAGAAUGCGUUUCAUUCGUAGGCUUGUAACGAUUACAUCAGAGAGAACUUGAGAUAUAUUUCCAUUGUGCAAAACAUUUGGAGAGAUCUACCUCGCCCUCUACUGCUGUAAAAGUAGUAAUGUCCAAGGGAAAACCUAGAGCAGAAUUCAACGCAGAUAAACAUGAGGCUGAACACAACCUCAUAUAUGAACAGACUUGACAUUGACAACACUCCGGGAUUAUCACACAAUAGCCAGCUAAACCAUGCAUUCCUCCUUAGAUCAGUAUUUAAUUCCUUUCCUUAUAUGUGUGUUGCAUUGGGUGCGGCAGAAACCAAGACGCAGAUGCUGGAUUUCUGAUCUACCUCGGCACUGCCAGUGUGUUGCCGUACCCGUACCGGCCAGAGAUCAGUGCCCGCCCGCCAUGAGGGUGGCGUUGGACAAGCCUUUCGUCUUGGGGAGCAGGACGACUGCCAGGACCGCACAGAUCAGGGCGAAGGCAGCGCCGAUGCCGAAGGCCGGGGUGUUGCCCUUGUUGAAGGCGCCAUCGAUUGGGCCAGCGGUGAGCGCGAUCACCAGCUGAACACGAGGGCAACACGGGAUCAGUAAUGUUCUAUUGUGCUCAAAAGAGGCAAUAAUGCUUGAAGACAAGUCAAUGGUAAAGAAGGAAAUUUUACCUGCGGAAGGACUAUGGCGAUGUUGAGUACGCCAAUGGUGAGACCUUGGCCUCCACCCUCCUCGGAGGCAACCUCAGACGCAACGGCCCACGGGACACUGAACAGCACCUGCAAGCACACAAAACGAUUCGACCAGAACUACAGUAAGCACGCAGCACGAACGAACUCGGAUGAAACAGCAAUCAGAAACGCGCGUCAACUUACGGCCUGCGGGAUGCCGAUGAGUGCGAAGACGGCGAGCGCUAUGCCCCUGUACGUUUUGUCAGGACCAAUGAGGCUGGCGGUGAGGGAGGGAUUGUAGCCCUUCAUGGAGAUCAUGCCAAGGACGACCAUGACCGUCAUGAUUGCGAACACCAUCAGGUUGCUGAUCGACCAGACGACCCGGGACGUGAGCUUCCGGCAAAGCUUGGGGAUGAGGAAGGAUGUGACGCCAAGAGCGAUGGAGCAGAAGAGGAGGCCGACGGCGCCCUCGCGCACCCCGGCGUCGAAGGCGUCCGCCUUGCCGCCCGCGCCCUGCGGCUCGCCGUGGUAGAUCUCCCGGCCCAUCCAGUCGGUGUUGUACUGGAAGAAGGGGAACCACGAGAGCUGCGAGCCAACCCGUCGAGAGCGAUGUCAGGGUCAAAGAUUCCGCGUGCGAAGGAAAAGAUACGAUGUGCGGGUGGAUGAAUGGAUGUGCGUACGUACCCAGGUGACGGCCGUGACGGCGAGCACCUUGAACAUGGCAGGUGGCAGGUUCUUAAGGCUCUUGAAGAGAUCGGCGAACGCCGAGCACGCGCCGCCAGAGGAGACGUCGACGUCGUCCUUGGCAAGCUGCUCCUCGCCGGCGAGGGCCAAGGUAACCGACAUGCUGAUGAUAAUGAGGAUCUGAUCCAAAAAAAAGGAGACAAAAUUAAAACGCCAAAGAUCCAAGCACGUUGAGAAGAAGCAAUAACGAACACGCUACGAGACCGGAGGACGUGGAAUUCAGAAGUCAGAGCUCACCACGGCAGUCAAGAAGGCACCCUUGAGAUUUGCGCAGGCGUCGCAGCACGCCGCGGUCUUGAGCCACGGGAGCCACCUGAUCAGUCAACCAGCGUCAAGAACACAUCAGCAGCCGACGACCAGGGCAAACGCUUUGGGAAAAAAAAACAAACAAAAAUGAAUGUUUCUUUAUGAGAUGAAAUCAGGCGACGUACUCGUGCCACUUCGCGUUGGCACCGGACAAGUAGCCGAGGACGCUGCCGAGAGCCAUCCACAAGGAGAAGAUCGCCUGGCCAACGUUGGGACCAUGCUGUCCAGCUGCAGGAAACAACAGUUGCAACAUUAGCAUCACUAAUUUUUGUCAUCCGUGCUCAUGCUUCAUGUUAGCGUGAUCAGGUUCAAAUAUAAGAACACGAUCGAAGGAAUUGCUCACCGGAAAGGUCUGCCAUCAUCGCGCGAGCCGGUCCCUGAAAUGACAAGAUUCGCAAAAUGGUUCAGGCUCAUCUCUGUAAAAUUCAGAAGGAUUUGCAUACGUGCUUGGAAGAGUGAACAGACGUACCUGGACGGUGUUGUUGGCGAAGUCGAGGAACCAGAAGCCGACGAUGUAGACGGCGGCGGCGGACCAGCGGGAGCCUUUGAACGUGCUGCAGUGCUCCUUGGUGUCGCCGAGGUGGCGUCCGAUGUCCGCCGAGAAGCCGAUCAUCAAGACCUGGCCAGAGCACCAGCGUCAUCAGUCAGUUAAAAAAGGAUCCGAGGAAAUCGCUACUGCCUGUAGAAAGCCAACAAGGAAUCGCCUUGGAAAAGACCGGCGUGAUGUGUGCGCUUACAGAGAGGCAGAUGAUGAUGCAUCCGGCAAGGACGAAGGGCCGCCGCCGGCCAAUCUUCGCCGUGCAUCGGUCGCUGUAGUAGCCGACGAUGGGUUGCACCUGCCAGCAGAAUCAAUGAGCCCAUUAAUCCCGGGGAUGGGAGAAAAAGCAAGGAGAUGACUGGACGCACGAUAACGGAUCCCUUGGUAAUUUAUCUCUAUCCUAUCUUAUCCUUCCGAAAUAUACCUUCCGGUAAAAACUCGGCAAUCAAUGCUACUCCAUAAAGAUGGAAAUAAAAUCGUACGUGAGCCGUUUCAUACUAGCGCGAUAUUUCGAGAGGAUUAAGAAAGAUAAUUUUUUUGCAUUUAUCCGAAUAAACGAUAAGAUCAAAAUCGUAAAAGAAAAUGCAUUUACCACAAAUCCGGCGAUAGGCCCGCAGAUCCAUGUCAGCGAGACGUAGCUGUGGGAGAUCCCAAGAGUCUGCAGCGCGCAACAAAGAUAGAUGAAAACAAUGCCUACUCAAAUCAAGUAGACAAAAGAAAACAAAGCACACACAGGAGAAUACGAAGAGAUCGACGACAAGUAGCAGAUGAUAUCUCAUUCUCACCUGGGAGUACGGUGAGAGGAGGGAGAGCUGUAGCGCCCAGCCGUACUGGAUGCCGCCGGAGACCAUGCACGCCAGGAAGAGCCGGAAGAUGCUCAUCGGCGGCUUCCGGCUCGCAUUGCCGUCGCCCUUCUCGCCGGCGACGCCGCCGCCGCUCUCGAGGUUCAUGGUCGCCCAGUCGAGGCGCUUGUUGGCGGCCUCCUUGCCGUCACCCUCCAUGGCUGCCGCGGCGCGACGGGCCGAGGAGGAGGAGGUGGAACGAGUACGCGGAUUGGUCGCAGGGAAGAAGGGAGAGCGAUAGGGACAGGCAAAUGAUCACGGGAUGAGGUGGGAAGGGAGGGCCGGGGGGCGGGGGGUUUUAAAGGCCGGGAGCGGGGGCGGGGGGUGGCCGGCGUCGGGUGGUUUAUGGCGAAUGGCCCGCCGGCAGGGAGACAGCACGCCGGAUGGUUUUAUCCGUUUCGGAAGGUUAUCCCGUCCUUAAUCUGUUUCUUGGUAAGGGUUUUUGCCAAGCUGGAAAAGGAUAGGGGCUAUAUCAAUGAAGUGGAUUAUUGUUGCCUUGUAUAGCCAGCAAUUUCACAUAUGCCAGCUAAUCGUCACUGUGGGAGUUGGUUUUGGGACUUUUUUUCCCCCUA
rnacentral:lncRNA from 1 species